CUCCUGCUGCAGUUGCUAGAUCCAUCAUCGGUCAUGCAUGCACCGCGUGCAUCAUAUCUUUGAUCGAUCCAUCCAUCUACUUACCAUGUAACGCUACCUGAUCGAGGGUCUUUGUAUGUAUGUACGCACCUGCCUGCAUGAGCAGAGCAGGUGCCAUGCCAUGCAUGUAAACCCCUAAAUAAAAUCUCCCGUGGUUUAACCUAUAUAAAUGCGUUUGUGUUAUAGACCAGCUUCUGGCCCACGUUUACUAUCAACUUGCAAGGUGCCUGGGUUGUUAAUAGACCAGCUGAAUGAGCUUCAGGUGCUACAUUCGUGAAAAGGACUCGUGGUUUAUAACGCAUAUUGUAGCCUACUAGCCACAUAUCAGCUGCGCUCAAUAUGCAGGAUUUCCAUUGGAUCAGAUCUUUCGCUUUGACGAAUUUGGACCUAGCGAAAAGGAUUCUUAAGCCUUCGCGCAAACAAGCAAAGUAGAAGCAAGACGAGGAAGUGGAGCUGUCGUAGAAGCAGUAGCUUCCCCCGACAAUAUACAAUACAACAGUAGCGACCAUGAAUAAAAAAGCCCCUUGUUUAACGAGUUCGCUGCUUUUCCCAGGCCGGAGAAGGGCAACUACUUAUUGAUUGAUCGCCUUUCUUUGAUAUGUGUUCAAUUUAGUAUAAUACAAACUACAACUAGAUCAAUGCGGAAGGGCCACUCACUAUAGAAGCUAUAACUAGAAAAGCCCUAGCCAAUAGUUUAGUAGUCGGCCAAACCCCCAUGCUCACGACAUGUUCUUGAUAUUGAUUGAGUUGGAGAGAGUCAGAGACUACCACGGAAUCCUUCCAUAGUCACCCCGGUGACCUUCGUCACCAAAGCGUCACAACAGUUUCCAAGACCCCUCAUAUAAUCUCCAGUGGGGAUCAGUCGGAGCACAUAAGAAUGCCGACCACUACAUAAGCCGCUGGCGGAGAAAGCUCGAAGAGCUUCCCUUCAUUCGCUUCGCGGGAGUCGCACACAGCACAUAGCUGGAAGUCAGAGGGCCCGUACUACCUGCCUAACCCUUCGCUCUGAGGGACCGUAGAACGGAAAGCGCCUUCUAAACAACUCGGCAGAAGGGAAGGGGCCUAUGUAUUUGCAUGACCCCUGCGGAUUUGACCCUACCUACACCCGGAGCCAACCCCCUAGCGGUCCUGCCACCACGCCGCAGAACAGGAGCUCGUGUGGAACCUUGGAUUUCUGGCAUAACAGUGAUGGAAGGUAUCAAAAUAUUACGGCUGCAUAACCAUAACAUAGUAUAUACGCUAAGGUCGGCCAAAAUAUGGACACCCGAAGGGCCCGGCGCGCACAAUCCUAUCCUAUCCGAGCCCGUCAUUGCAUGCACUUCGGACAGCCGUCCGUAGCAUCAUAAGGAGCACCUCCCUUUCGAGGUACCCAAAUGGAACGGUCUUUAUUUGUGUUGUUGGUUGAUCUUUCUCAACGUGGUCUAUAGCACGAAUAACCAUUCUUUACAAGAUAGGGCCGUUCACAUGAAAGAAAAUACAAAAUCCAUUCUUCAUGGUCAGACGCAUUUCUCCAAAUCCUCCAGGAUCACAAGUGGAACGCUAAGCAAGGGUGGGGAGGCUGCGAGCUCUGCGUCGAACAGAAAGAACCAAGCAGGGGGUGUUGCCGUAGCGCGACGGAGAGCAAGCGUAGGCAACCAAACUAAAUAAGGCUACAAAAGUAGCUAGCUAGCGUUUUUAAGCUAGCUGCCUUUUCUAGCGCGCGUACUCUUCUGUGGAGUCGCAAGGAACGAGCCUUGUCUUCCCUCCAACGACUAGCUCCCUUUUCUUAUUUCGGUCACCCUUCUCUUGUCGUGGAAGGACUUUUGCUUGUGGUGUGGUCCAACCCGUGGACGGAGUCGUCCUCAUCCCCCCAUUGCUCAGUGCUCCCUGCAGCUUCGCUGGGCUUUACCCGCGUGGGCGCGGGCUUCUAUAAGAGAAUGAAAAGCUCUCUUUUUACAAUAAAAUGCGAACCACACGGAGCCCACCCUUUUUCGUUUUUUGCCGCCACUGGGUGGCCACAGGGGAAACACAUCCCGGCCGCCUCUCGGGAAAGGGGGGUGGGCCUACCUAUCCCGAGGGAGCAGCUGAGAGGUUCAAUAUGCCGAGCCGAAGGGCAGAACUUCAAUGUGUGAUCAUAGUAUGUCACCUCGUCUCGUCCUCGCAGCAUCGAAGAGUACCUAUGCACUAUGUUCGGUUCACUGAUAAGGAAGAUAGAGUUGGGGUGGGGGUCUACGAUGUGAUUCUAUAGUAUGCCCCGGGGAGAAAGAUGCACAACUCAAAACGGAAGCAGGAAGCGUGUUGUCAAAAAUGUUGGAGGUUACCGGAUCUCCGAGACUACUAUCGAUCCGACAGAGCGGAACGACCAGAAAAAGAAGUGGAGUUAGAAAGCCGUAUGAUAGGUGGUAACUAUCUUGUACGGUUCGGGGGGUAAGCGGCGUACUCUGGGGGAAUAUUAGGCUCUAUCGACCAUACAGGGAAUUGGAGGUAGCAUUUUACUUAUGUUAAGUCAUGGACUGGUUUCUUCAGCCCUUUUUCUAUGUGUUGGUGUUCUAUAUGACCGACAUAAACUCGACUUGUGAGAUAUUAUGGAGGUUUAGUGAGCACCAUGCGGAAUUUCUCUACCAUUUUCUUAUUUUUCACUUUAGCCAAUAUGAGUUUACCUGGCACUAGCAGCUUUAUCGGGGAAUUUCUAAUCUUAGUAGGAGCUUUCCAAAGAAAUGGCUUAGUAGCCACAUUAGCUGCGCUUGGGAUGAUUUUAGGCGCAACAUAUUCCCUUUGGCUAUAUAAUCGUGUGGUUUCUAGAAAUUUAAAACCCGAUUUCCUCUAUAAAUUCUCCGAUCUAAUUGGUAGAGAAGUUUCCAUAUUUCUACCUUUUCUUGUUGGAGGGGCGACCGUCCGUUGAACUACCAAAAAAUGGUAAACCAAUGUGAUCAUGACAUUGUAGGUGCUUGCGAUGGGACGGAUGUGACUUCCCUCAUAAGUAAUGGGUGGCAUAGCUCGUAGCAGAAGUCCCCUUUUUUAUCCAUUUCUUUAUUACCCCAGAGGGGCCAAGCCUUGCGGGACCGAGAGAAAGAAAGGACGGGGGGCGACCAUGCAUGGCACUUCUCGACCGUGUCUCCGAGGAACAGUUGAACGAGCGACUCAUGAAUGCUACCGGGUCGGACGAGCCAAUAACUCGAACGUGUUCGGUCAUUUUUUUGAGAAAGAAUCACAGUGUUACCUUACCUUCACCAUGAUACGGACUCCAAGUUCUUAUGGCAGAGCACGAGGAGUUUCCUUCAAUAUGAUGAUGAGAGUGGAAACCAGAAGCACGACUGGGUCUUCGUAGUCCGAGAUCAUACUUAUAUAUCAGUCACAGUAAUGUAAGCAUGAGAAUUUUUGGUAGUACCGGUGAACCAGAUGGCCACAGCGAGGGAAUCUGGGACGGAGGACUCGUAAUAUCUCUAUAGAUCUGGCAAAAGCGAAAGACCCUAACAUCAGGGGCUGACCAAUGAGCUCACUCAGGCCCCGCUGGGCGGUCCAGAGUGGGUGCGAGCUGGAAUUGCCAUAGCUUAUGGUUAGAGCAAUAGGAAAGGGCCCGGCAGAGAGAACAGUCAGGAUAACGAGCGUGGAGCCCACUUGGCAGGCGGCAGGAGCAGCGGGCAAGUGCUUGCUUGGUAGGCCAACAGCCCUGUGAACCGGGCGGGGCACUCGACGAAAGGGGGGCAUGCUGAGCAAGUACGCAAAAUUGGCCCUGUGGAGCUUUCAAAAAGAAAAGCAAGGACCACUACGGGAGGUCGAACCACGGACCGGAGGUAGUAGAACGUAAUCCGCACCGGUCAAUAUUGGAUCAAACAAUAGGGGACCGUAGCACUGACCUUUUUUUCAAGACAAUAGGUAUUGUUCCCUACCAACACAAGGGACACUCUCGACGGAUCCUCCACGCGCUGGGCAUACCAUAGUUCUUCCGUUCGUCUUUAUCAUGGCGGAAACAGAACAAGAGGGAAAGACCCGGCCGACUCACCAAGGGCUCGAGGGCGAGCCAUACGAGAGUGAGUCGAAUUCUGUUUACGUACUCGGUUUGGGUUCGGUCCCCUCUCGAUCUUUUGUGUAUAAGGGAAGGGGGAAGGAGUCUAAAUCUAUGGACAUUAAUGAACCACCAUUGAUGGACGUUGCACAUGACACAAGAAAUUUGACUCGACGAUCCGGUGCUAAUAGAAGUCGCUUACUCUCCGCCUAGCGAAGGUGCCAGAUCCUUAAAGUAAAGUAUCUAUCAGCCUAGUGUACCAACCACGUGGUAUGACGGGCACUCAAAGACCUGACGAAUGAGGGGCCACCCCACCUAAGAGCGCUUAUGUCAUAUGGGAACUCUCGGCUGGAAACAAUCCUUAUGGUUUUUAUAUCCGGUUAGAAUAAUAAGAAAGAAUCAAAGUCCAUGUUGGUUGGUGAGCCUAGUGAUAGGACACUAUCUAGCUUGGUUCGGAGAGCACUUGUUGGGUUUCAGAUUCGUUUUUUGCUAAAUGUUACGGCCCAAAUGCUGAACUAUUGACCCUACUUGUUCGGAUGGGUGUUCACCCCAAAGUGUUCCCGGACUGCAUGCAUACAUCCUUAAGUAACUUAGUGCAACAUGGCAAAUUUCAUUGAGAAGAAUCAGCAAACAAAAUAAAUCUUCUCCGGGUGACAGGGCCGCUUCGUUAAUAGAUCAUGCAUAUUGUCGAGUUUUGUGUUUUAUAGCGCAAGAUUUUGUUUUUACAAAAGGUGGAUCCCAACAAGACACGAUGGUAUGCGUAUCUUGUAGUCUAUCUGUCUUCUUGAGAAAAUACAUUAAUGUCUCAUGGUGUAGUAGGUUAUCACGUCAGUCUAACACACUACAUGGCGAAGCCAAAUUGUUAUUGUUUUUUUUCCUGCAAAACUACAAAAUGCACCAAUAAAUCUUUGUCAUUUGCUAGUUUCCCAUUCUCGCGACUCUUAAUAUGAAGCCCAUGAAGACAUUAAAGAUAGCGGUGGACAGCUAAGGGCCUAAGGCCCAAGGGCGACUUAGUGCCCGUAGGUAUAAACCGCCAUAUAUGUAAAACGUGUAUUGUAAGGCAUGUAAAGAUAGUCACUGAGUCGGACACGUUGUCUAUGAGCCAUCCGGGACUCUAUGAUCCGCUGGGCGUCGACCUGUCUAUAUAAAGGGACGACCCGGCGGCGGUUCAGGACAAGAAACAAGAGAUCGAAAGCUAGGUCAAGCAGAUUUGCUCCCUGAUAAUCGAGACAUAAGCAAUGCCACCCAAAAACUGGAUUGUAGGCUUUUACCUUCACCAUAAGGGGCCGAACCAGUAUAAACCCUGUGUCCUUUGUCCCAUUUAACCCCUUUAAGCUAACCUAGAGGCGAUGGCUCCACGACUAAGUCCUUUCACGAGGACAUUUGUCGUGACUAUUCCACGACAGCUCUCCUCCCGAUGAGCACGUGCAGGGGUCUGAUUGCAUGCCUCCCGUAAUCAAAUAGCUACCCCACAUGGCACCUCCUAGCCAAUAAAAAAAGGGACGCGUGGUGGCACGUCAUUGGUAAGUAGAACGCCCACGGUUUCAAUAAUAGUUGUGUUUCCGAUUUGUAACGUGACAACACUUGUUCCAAAAUGACUUUGUUGAUUUUUAAUGUGUGCGUCUUCGCAAAUCGGACAGAAAAAUUACCACAGCAUGUUGGUGCCAUGUCAUGACACCAUGCCAAGUUUCAUGAUUUUCAGGCAUGUUUUGGACACCAUGCCAAGUUUCAUGAUUUUCAGACGUGAUUUUCAUGCAUGUUUUGGACACCAUGCCAAGUUUCAUGAUUUACCGCAGAAUGUUGGUGUCAUCAUGACACCAUGCCAAGUUCCAUUAGUGCCGGUUCCAACGGCUAGCCGGGAGGAGCUCUUUAGUACCGGUUCGUGGCAAACCUUUAGCACCGGUUCGUGCCACGAACCGGUACUAAUGAGAGUGGUGGCAGGAUCAUGUCAGAGUGGGGCCCUUCCAGCACCUUUAGUAUCGGUUCGUGGCACGAACCGGUACUAAAGGUCGUCCUAUAUAAACCCUUCGUCCACCCGCACUCUGUUCUUCCCCCUUUCCCCUCUCCCUCUCCUCUAUUCUUCCCUUCUUCCUCUCGAGUUCAUCACAAAAUUUGCCCCAAAUUUGUCAAGAUUUGCAGGCCCUCAUCCAUUCAAAUGAUCACCAAGGUUAGCAACUUUGUCCUUUCAUCUCUCAUUGCUAGAUUAGCUCUUGCAUUGGUUUAUAUAGUGAUUAAUUGUGGGUUUUAGUAAUUUGGGAGGAAUAAUAUGUGGUAGUAUUUGAUUUAUAUGCAAUUUGAGUUCAAAAUAACACUUAGUUUGCAUAUGUAGGUGUGGUUUACUUAGUGCCUUCUAAAUCUCCGUCGUAACCACCGUCGAUCGCCCACACCAUCCCGUCGCCGGCACCACCUUGUGGUGAGCCUCUUGUUCAUGAAAUUUUAUAUAAAAAAUUGAUGUUUGUGUGAUUUGGAUAUAUAGUUACUCGUAUAAUAAUUAUCUUGCAUGUACGUUGUCUGUUAUACAUAGUGCCAUGGUUUUGAUAUCCGUCCCCGUCGGCCCUCGUCCUUGUUAUGAUUCGGAUGUGUUAUAUUCUCUUUUAAAACUAUUUGUUGCAUUUCGUGUUUAUGACAAAUUAUGCCCAUCAAGUUGACAUAGAUAUUUUUAUCUAGGAGGUAUGUGAACCGGAAAUUCCAACCGACCCUAUUGUCUAGAGGUUAAAUUUAGUUGGAAGAGAAAACGAGUACUUGAAAGAAAAUUUGAAAAGAAUUGAGGGAGAGAAGAUGGAAUUAGAGUUGCAUGUUGCCGAUGUCGUCGAUGAUCACAAGAUCAAGAUGGAGAAAAUGCGCUUGAAGAUUAGAAAGAUUAGAAAAUAUGCCAUCGAUAGUGAGGCUUGGUAUCAUUAUGCUGUUGGAUCAAUUGUUACCUUAGUUGCGAUCUUGAUCGCAUUUGUUGUUGCAUUUAAAUGCUUUAGCUGGAGAGUUAUUUGUUUGUUGCAUUUAAGUGUUGUAUGAACUUGUAUUAAUUUGGUCUAUUCGGUGUUGUGUAAUGAAGAUGAGCCGGCAAUGGAUGUACGAUGACCGAUGCUCUCCCCAGUUCAUUGAGGGCGUGCAUACUUUUCUGCUUGUGGCUGAGGCAAACAAGCGGGCGGAUGGUUUUAUGCCUUGUCCAUGUGCUGGCUGUAAGAAUGGUCGCAAUUACUCUACGUCAAGAACCAUUCACGUCCACCUGUUUGAGUCCGGUUUCAUGCCCCACUAUAAUGUUUGGACCAAGCAUGGAGAAAGAGGGGUCAUGAUGGAAGACAAUGAAGAAGAAGAGGACGACGACAGCUAUCCUGGCCAUGGGUUCCCUGAAUACGAUGAUACAACAAUGGGGGAAGAAGCUGAGCCGGUAAUGCGGGAAGAAGCUGAGCCGGCAAUGCGGGAAGAAGCUGAAGAAGAGGCAUCAGAUGAGCCCGUUGAUGAUCUAGGUCGGGCCAUUGCCGAUGCAAAGAGAAACUGCGCAAGUGAUUUGGAGAAGAAGAAGUUGCAGCGCAUGUUAGAGGAUCACAAAAAAUUGUUGUACCCGAAUUGCGUAGGUGACAAGAAAAAGCUGGGCACCACACUGGAAUUGCUGCAAUGGAAGGCAGAGAAUGGUGUAUCUGACAAGGGAUUUGGAAAGUUGCUGGUAAUGAUAAAGGAUAUGCUUCCAAAGGACAACGAAUUGUCCGAGAGUACAUACGAAGCAAAGAAGGCUGCCUGCCCUCUAGGGUUAGAGGUGCAGAAGAUACAUGCAUGCCCUAAUGAUUGCAUCCUCUACCACGGUGAGCACGAGGAUUUGAACGCUUGCCCGGUAUGUGGUGCAUUGCGCUAUAAGAUCAGCCGCGAUGAGCAUGGUGAUGUCGAGGGCGAGCGCCCCAGGAAGAAGAUUCCUGCCAAGGUGAUGUGGUAUUCUCCUAUAAUACCAUGGUUGAAACGUUUGUUCCAAAACAAAGAGCAUGCCAAGGCGAUGCGAUGGCACAGAGAAGACCGUAAGAAAGACGGAAAGUUGAGAGUACCCGCUGACGGGUCGCAGUGGAGAAAAAUCGAAAGAAAGUACGGGAAGGAGUUUGCAGAUGACGCAAGGAGCGUAUGUUUGGUCUAAGCGCAGAUGGCAUUAAUCCUUUUGGGGAGCAGAGCAGCAACCAUAGCACCUGGCCUGUGACUCUAUGUUUGUAUAACCUUCCUCCUUGGUUGUGCAUGAAGAGGAAGUUCAUCAUGAUGCCAGUGCUCAUCCAAGGCCCUAAGCAACCCGGCAACGACAUUGAUGUGUACCUAAGGCCAUUAGCUGAGGCAAACAAGCGGGCGGAUAGCACCAACCCAUCCAUGCCGAGAAGAAGCGUGGGUUCGGCCGCCCCGGACGAUGCAAUGCUGGGUAGAUACCCCGUGGAUGACAUCACGGAGAACACUAACUGCGAGCUACACGUCAAAAUAACGAACAUAUCCAUCAAGGUGGCGGACGCCGUUGCUUUUACAAAUCCCCCCGAGGCAACCUUCCAUUGCAACCCGAUUCCAGCGGGCUAUGCUCGUGUCUUGGUUGAUGAGGUGGUGGACCCACCAUAUUCGGAGCUACAGCUUGACAUUCCUGGAGGUGACGACGAGCACUUUCUCGGAGAGGCCAAACAUCGUAUCAUCCUAUGGAAAAAGGAUUGUAUCAUCUUUCGAAGGCCACCGACACCGCGUCAGCUGACUCCUCGUCGAAGUCCGCCACCGAGUCAGCAGUCUCCCGCUCCUGCAAGUCCACCAAGUCCGGCAAAGUGUCAGGCCACUCCUCCUCCAAGUCAGGCAAAGUGUCAGGCCACUCCUCCUCCUCCAAGUCCGCCACAGCGUCAGACGUCCACUCCUCCUCCAAGUCCGGCACAACCUCAGGCCACUCCUCCUCCAAGUCCGGCACAGCUUCAGGCGGCCACUCCUCGUCCAACUCAGUUCCGUCAGCCGUCUCCGCCGCCUCAGCAAUCGCAGAAGAGAUACCCCGCAGCUAUGGUGCGUAGCGGUACGAGUCGAGGUAGUACAGGAAGUACAGGGGGAGGCAAGCGAUAUAAAUAUGGUCCAAGCCUCACACCUCUUCAGCAGAGGGCUUAUGACAGGUCCGAGGAGGAAAUCUCAGCCAUAUCGAAGGCCGAGGUGGAAGUCCAUUUUGCACCGAAACCGCCACCGCCGCCAAGGGAGAAAGUGCCUGAGGAAACGAUUGACCACUUCAUUCGUAUGGCUCAACCACCAGCUCCCAAGCCUGUUGACACAGACUAUGAGCGCCACAUCAGGAAGUUAAAUCGAGCACGUCUACGUCAGGAGGCGAGCUCGGGAUCGAGCAAACAAGAAGCAGCUGUCAAAAAAUGCGGGAAAACCAUUCCCCAGCUGGGAGAACAGGCGGCGCAAUCGAUCCCCUCACUUGUUGUGCCAACAACACAUGACAGUAUGCGCGCCCAAUAUUAUCGUGGGCAAACAGUUUACGUUCCUGAGGUGGGCAAUGUGGUAAUAACGGAGGAGCAUAUAAUGCAGGCUGAAGUUCUCAAAAUCACUGUUGGACAACUCCUCGAGAUCGAGCCCAUGCCUGUGCUUAGAGAGGAUGAAAUAAAACGGAAAUAUGUCCGGGGCCAACCUUUGGUCGAGCCAGACAAGGUCAAGAACCUCCCAACGAGAAUGUAUGAAUUGCAUCAAUGGUACAUGAACAUUACCAAGAUUUCAGAUCGAUUGUCCCUCAUGGUGAAUGUCAAGGAGGAUCAUUACUUUCAUGAGAAAGCUUUGUCCGUUGAGUAUUCUAAACUGUUUCGGUUAUACAAUCAAGACGCACUCGACAAAUCUAUCGUCAGUUGCUAUUGUCUGUAAGUGAUUUCUUUCUGUAAUUUUACGUCUCAAGCUAGCUGUAGUGAUCCUUUUGAUCAAUCAUUACCUGUAAUUAUCCUUACUAUAUUCUUUUCUGUGGUAUUAUGCAGGAUGAAGAUGUAUGAAAUGAGAAAAGGUGGACGCUAUGGCAUUGGGUUCAUUGACCCAAACACCGUUAAUGAAUACACAUGGCGGAUAAAUCCACAUCAUCAAAAGGACGUAGAGGACAACAUGCUAGAGUUCUUAAAGCGCCUCAAAUACAAUAAAAAUAUACUACUUCCUUACAACUUCCAGUGAGUCACACUGUCUUGUACUACAAAUUCGCUGUUUUUGCCUACUAGCUAGCUACAUGUUUUUGCUUACAUAUGCCCGCUUAAUUAAAACAUGCAAACGUGUGUGCAUGCAGAUUUCACCGGGUCUUGUGCAUCAUUAAAGUUGACGCCGGAACAGUUGAAAUACUGGACUCACUACUCAAAGUUAAAACUGACUAUAACAUCUUGUUUGGGAUAGUCAACAGGUAAUUUCAAUCAUUAUUAACUAUAUAUCUCGGCCUAUUUAGUUCGUCAUUUCAUGAUAUGAACUAUUUAAUAACCCCUUUAUUCAUUUUCUUUGUCGGCGGGCAGGGCUUGGGCAAGGUUCAUCAGCAUCACGGAUGGCGAAUGGAAAAAAAAGCUUCAAUGGUUUCGACCCAAGGUAAGUAAUUAAGUAGUACUAGCUAGCUGGCUAGCUGCCAUCUCUUUAAUUAUCAUGCUUGGUUAAUUAUUAUCUGAUCAAAUUCCAUUCUCGUAAAGACCCUGAAGCAGGCGCAGGGGACUGAUCUAUGUGCAUUCUGCGUUUGCGAGAACAUUCGCAUGAUGGCGUCCGAAAGGAGCAGAUCUCAAAGACAGGAAUGGGUACGCUUGUCAGAACACUAUUCACAAUUUUUACACUAUUAUCGAUAUCUAGUCACACAACUAAUACACAUGCAUAUUGAUCUCCUUCUUAACCGUUCAGAGAGGUGCGGGAGAAGCUCCUAGAAACGGAGCGCAUAGAAGCACUUCAAGAGGAAAUAGCGGGAUUUUUGCUCGACCAGGUCAUAAAUCCGAAGGGAGAAUACUAUUACCCGCUACCGCCCCCAUGAAAACCACUUCCAAUUGUCAUCGUGCUCCGAAGGCACCAAUUAGGCUAAUGCCACUGGCUCCGAAGGCAACAUGCAUAUGUAGGAGAAAUUGUAUAUAGCUAGCUAUACAUUUGUGUAUGUGUGAAUUAAUUAAUAUGGUGGUUUGUGAGACAUUGAUGAUAUAUAUAUGCAUGAUUGGUUCUACUAGAAAUUCUAUUUAUAUAUAUAUAUAUAUAUAUAUAUAUAUAUAUAUGCAUAACGUGUAUAAUGUGUAGUAUCGUAAAAUACCAGCAAACGAAAAAGAAUUAAAAUGGAAACACAAAAUUAAAUGAAAAAGAAAUAAUAAAACUAAAAAAACCCCAAACCUUAUGCCACGUGGUUGCCCUUUACCACCGGUUCGUGCUGAACUGGUACUAAAGGGGGGGGCCUUUAGUGCCCACACUUUAGUGUCGGUUAUGGAACCAGCACUAAAGGGCCUUACGAACCGGUGCUAUUACCCGGUUCUGCACUAGUGUUGGUUUUGCUUAUUGAAUGCUCAUAUUGGAAAAGUUCUCCUUCAUUCCCGUGUGCUAGACAAUUUGGUGUAAUAAUGCACUCGGGAAUGAAAGGAGGAGCUACGUACAUCACUGAUAGUCAACCCGUGAUUAAUAAUAAUGAUCUAGUUUAAUAUUUGAAUUAUGAACAUAGGCCGGAAAUGUCGUACUCGGACGAUGAAAACCGCCCGGGGGAGUGCGACUGGUGCCACGACGACCGAGGUAUGUGCGACAGGUUCAUUGAGCUGGACGAAGAUCGACGCUUCAGCAUUAAGCUCGAGGAUACCUUCGAUGUUCAUACGGUACGCAACGACGACAAUAGUUUUUUUCUUAAUUAAGCACGACUUUAACUAUUUUAACGUGUAUUUUUCAUCUUUUCCAAUUUGACUAGCUUAUCCCAUGCUAUGCAAGACGCUAUGUCUUGGAGAGGAUGAAGGAAAUAUGCCCUAGAGGCAAUAAUAAAGUUAUUAUUUAUUUCCUUAUAUCAUGAUAAAUGUUUAUUAUUCAUGCUAGAAUCGUAUUAACCGGAAACAUAAUACAUGUGUGAAUACAUAGACAAACAUAGUGUCACUAGUAUGCCUCUACUUGACUAGCUCGUGAAUCAAAGAUGGUUAAGUUUCCUAGCCAUGGACAAAAGAGUUGUCAUUCGAUUAACGGGAUCACAUCAUUAGGAGAAUGAUGUGAUUGACUUGACCCAUUCCGUUAGCCUAGCACUUGAUCGUUUAGUAUAUUGCUAUUGCUUUCUUCAUGACUUAUACAUGUUCCUGUAACUAUGAGAUUAUGCAACUCCCGUUUAUUGGAGGAACACUUUGGGUGCUACCAAACGUCACAACGUAACUGGGUGAUUAUAAAGGAGUACUACAGGUGUCUCCAAAGGUACAUGUUGGGUUGGCGUAUUUCGAGAUUAGGUUUUGUCACUCCGAUUGUCGGAGAGGUAUCUCUGGGCCCUCUCGGUAAUGCACAUCACUAUAAGCCUUGCAAGCAAUGUGACUAAUGAGUUAGUUGCGAGAUGAUGUAUUACGUAACGAGUAAAGAGACUUGCCGGUAACGAGAUUGAACUAGGUAUUAGAUACCGACGAUCGAAUCUCGGGCAAGUAACAUGCCGAUGACAAAGGGAACAACGUAUGUUGUUACGCGGUUUGACCGAUAAAGAUCUUCGUAGAAUAUGUAGGAGCCAAUAUGGGCAUCCAGGUUCCGCUAUUGGUUAUUGACCAAGAAUAGUUCUAGGUCAUGUCUACAUAGUUCUCGAACCCGUAGGGUCCGCACGCUUAAGGUUUCGAUGACAGUUAUAUUAUGUGUUUAUGAGUUUUGAUGUACCGAAGGAGUUCGGAGUCCCGGAUGAGAUCGGGGACAUGACGAGAAGUCUCGAAAUGGUCGAGACGUAAACAUCGAUAUAUUGGACGACUAUAUUUGGAGUUCGGAAAGGUUUCGAGUGAUUCGGGUAUUUUUCGGAGUACCGGAGAGUUACGGGAAUUCGCCGGGGAGUAUAUGGACCUUAUUGGGCCAUACAGGAAUAGAGGAGAGAGGCCAAAAGGAAGGAGGCCUGCGCACCCCCUCUGGUCCGAAUUGGACAAGGGGCGCAGCCCCCCUUUCCUUCUUCCUCUCCCCCUCUUUCCCCUUCUCCUACUCCAACAAGGGAGGUGGAAUCCUACUAGGACUAGGGAGUCCUAGUAGGACUCCACACUUGGCGCGCCCCCUCCUAGGGCCGGCCUCCUCCCCCCUUGCUCCUUUAUAUACGGGGGCAGGGGGGCACCCCAUGACACACAAGUUGAUCUACGUGAUCGUUCCUUAGCCGUGUGUGGUGCCCCCCUCCACUAUAUUCCACCUUGGUCAUAUCGUCGCGGAGUUUAGGAGAAGCCCUGCGCCGGUAGAACAACAUCAUCGUCACCAUGCUGUCGUGCUGACGGAACUCAUCCCCGACACUUUGCUGGAUCGGAGUCCGGGGAUCGUCAUCGAGCUGAACGUGUGCUGAACUCGGAGGUGCCGUACGUUUGGUACUUGGAUCGGUCGGAUCGUGAAGACGUACGACUACAUCAACCGCGUUGUCAUAACGCUUCCGCUUACGGUCUACAAGGGUACAUGGACAUUACUCUCCCCUCUCGUUGCUAUGCACCACCAUGAUCUUGCGUGUGCGUAGGAAAUUUUUUGAAAUUACUACAUUUCCCAACAGUGGCAUCCGAGCCUAGGUUUUAUGUGUUGAUGUUAUAUGCACGAGUAGAACACAAGUGAGUUGUGGGCGAUACAAGUCAUACUACUUACCAGCAUGUCAUACUUAAUUUGGUUCAGCGGUAUUGUUGGAUGAAGCAGCCCGGACCGACAUUACACGUACGCUUACGCGAAACUGGUUUUACCGCCGUGCUUUGCACACAGGUGACUAGCGGGUGUCUGUUUCUCCAACUUUAGUUGAACCAAGUGUGGCUACGCCCGGUCCUUGAGAAGGUUAAAACAACAUUAACUUGACGAACUAUCGUUGUGGUUUUGAUGCGUAGGUAAGAACGGUUCUUGCUCAGCCCAUAGCAGCCACGUAAAACUUGCAACAACAAAGUAGAGGACGUCUAACUUGUUUCUGCAGGGCAUGUUGUGAUAUGGUCAAGACGUGAUGAGAUAUAAGUUGUUGUAUCAGAUGAUCAUGUUUUGUUGAAGUUAUCGGCAACUGGCAGAAGCCCUAUGGUUGUCUCUUUGUUACAUAAGAUGCAAGUGCCAAAUAAUUGCUUUACUUUAUCGCUAUACGAUAGCAAUAGUUGCAAGAGCAAUAGUUGGCGAGACGACCAUGUGACGACACAUUCAUAUAGACCAAGAUGAUGAAGAUCAUGGCAUCGUGCCGGUAACGAUAGAGAUCAUGACAGUACUUUGGAGAUGGAGAUCACAAGCACAAGAUGAUGAUGGCCAAUAUCAUAUCACUUAUAUUGAUUGCAUGUGAUGUUUAUCUUUUAUACAUCUUAUUUUGCUUAGUUUGACGGUAGCAUUUUAAGAUGAUUUCUCACUAAAUUAUCAAGAAGUGUUCUCCCUGAGUAUGCACCGUUGCGAAAGUUCUUCAUGCUGAGACACCAUGUGAUGAUCGGGUGUGAUAGGCUCUACGUUCAAAUACAGCGGGUGCAAAACAGUUGCACACGCGGAAUACUCAGGUUAAACUUGACGAGCCUAGCAUAUAACAGAUAUGGCCUCGGAACACGAAGACCGAAAGGUCGAGCGUGAAUCAUAUAGUAGAUAUGAUCAACAUAUUGAUGUUCACUGUUGAAACUACUCCAUCUCACGUGACGAUCGGACAUGGUGUAGUUGAUAUGGAUCACGUAAUCACUUAGAGGAUUAGAGGGAUGUCUAUCUAAGUGGGAGUUCUUAAGUAAUAUGAUUAAUUGAACUUUAAAUUUAUCAUGAACUUAGUCCCGGUAGUAUUUUGCAAAUUAUGUUGUAGAUCAAUAGCUCGCGUUUUUGCUUCCCUAUGUUUUUAUAUGUGUUCCUAGAGAAAAACUAAGUUGAAAAGAUGUUAGUAGCAAUGAUGCGGACUUGGUCCGUGAUCUGAGGUUUAUCCUCAUUGCUGCACAGAAGAAUUAUGUCCUUGAUGCACACGCUAGGUGACAGACCUAUUGCAGGAGCAGAUGCAGACGUUAUGAACGUUUGGCUAGCUCAAUAUGAUGACUACUUGAUAGUUUUAUGCACCAUGCUUUAUGGCUUAGAACCGGGACUACAAAAACGUUUUUGAAACGUCAUGGAACAUAUAAGAUGUUUCAAGAUAUGAAAUUGGUAUUUCAGACUCAUGCCCGUGUCAAGAGGUAUGAGACCUCUGAGAAAUACUUCGCCUAAAAGAUGGAGGAGAAUUGCUCAACUAGUGAGAAAGUACUUAGAUUGUCUGAGUACUACAAUCACUUGAAUCGAGUGGGAGUUAAUCUUCCAGAUAAGAUAGUGAUUGGCAGAGUUCUCUAGUCACCAUCACCAAGUUACUGGAACUUCGUGAUGAACUAUAAUGCAAGGGAUGACGAAAACGAUUCCUGAGCUCUUCGUGAUGCUGAAAUCGAUGAAGGUAGAAAUCAAGAAAAGAGCAUCAAGUGUUGAUGAUUGACAAGACCACUAAUUUCAAGAAAAGGGUAAAGGGAAAGAAAGGGAACUUCAACUAGAAUGACAAGCAAGUUGUCACUCCCGCGAAGAAGCCCAAAGCUGGACCAAAGCCUGAAACUGAGUGAUUAUACUGCAAAGGAAAUGGUCACUAGAAGCAGAAAUGCCCUGAAUAUUUGGUGGAUAAGAAGGAUGGCAAAGUGAACAAGGGUACAUUUGAUAUACAUGGUAUUGAUGUGUACUUUACUAGUGUUUAUAGUAGCCCCUGAGUAUUUGAUACUUGUUCAGUUGCUAAAAUUAGUAACUUGAAAUAGGAGUUACAGAAUAAACAGAGACUAGUUGAGGGUGAAGUGACGAUGUGUGUUGGAAGUAGUUCCAAGAUUGAUAUGAUCAUCAUCACACUCUCCCUACACUUUCGAGAUUAGUGUUGAACCUAAAUAAAUGUUAUUUGGCUUUGCGUUGAGCAUGAAUAUGAUUUGAUCAUGUGUAAUGCAAUACGGUUAUUCAUUUAAAGUCAGAGAAUAAUUGUUAUUCUGUUUACAUGAAUAAAGCCUUCGAUGGUCAUACACCCAAUGAAAAUAGUUUGUUGGAUCUCGAUCGUAGUGAUACACAUAUUUCAUAAUAUUGAUGCCAAAAGAUGCAAAGUUGAUAAUGAUAGUGCAACUUAUUUGUGGCACUGCCAUUUGGGUCAUAUCGGUGUAAAGCGCAUGAAGAAACUCCAUACUGAUGGGUUUUUGGAAUCGCUUGAUUAUGAAUCAUUUGAUGCUUGCAAACCGUGCCUUAUGGGCAAGAUGAGUAAAACUCCGUUCUUCAGAACAAUGGAACGAGCUACUGACUUGUUGGAAAUAAUACAUACUGAUGUAUGCGAUUCAAUGAGUAUUAAUGCUCGUGGCGAGUAUCGUUAUUUUCUGACCUUCACAAGAUGAUUUGAGCAGAUAUGAGUAUAUCUACUUAAUUAAGCACAAGUCUGAAACAUUUUAAAAGUUCAAAGAAUUUCAGAGUGAAGUGAAGAAUCAUCGUAACAAGAAAAUAAAGUUUCUGUGAUUUGAUCACGGAGACAAAUAUCCGAGUUACGAGUUUGGCCUUCAUAUAAAACAAUGUGGAAUAGUUUCACAGCUCAUGCCACCUGGAACACCAUAGCAUUAUGGUGUGUCCAAACGUCGUAACCGCACUUUAUUGGAUAUGGUGCGAUCUAUGAUGUCUCUUAUCGGUUUACCACUAUCGUUUUGGGGUUAUGCAUUAGAGACAGCUGCAUUCACGUUAAAUAGGGUACCAUCUAAAUCCGUUGAAACGACACCGUAUGAACUAUGGUUUGGCAAGAAACCAAAGUUGUCGUUUCUUAAAGUUUGGGGCUGCGAUGCUUAUGUGAAAAAGUUUCAACCUGAUAAGCUCGAACCCAAAUCGGAGAAGUGCGUCUUCAUAGAAUACCCAAAGGUAAAUAUUGGGUACACCUUCUAUCACAGAUCUGAAAGCAAGUUUCGUUGCUAAGAUGGAUCCUUUCUAGAGAAGAAGUUUCUCUCGAAAGAAGUGAGUGGGAGGAAAGUAGUACUUGAUGAGGUAAUUGUACCUUCUCCCUUAUUGGAAAGUAGUUCAUCACAGAAAUCAGUUCCAGUGAUUCCUACACCAAUUAGUGAGGAAGUUAAUGAUGAUGAUCAUGAAACUUCAGAUCAAGUUGCUACCAAACCUCGUAGGUCUUCCAGAGUACGAUCCGCACCAGAGUGGUACGGUAAUCAUAUUCUGGAAGUCAUGUUACUAGACCAUGAUGAACCUACGAACUAUGAGGAAGCGAUGAUGAGCCCAAAUUCCACGAAAUGGCUUGAGGCCAUGAAAUCUGAGAUAGGAUCCAUGUAUGAGAACAAAGUAUGGACUUUGAUUGACUUGCUCGAUGAUCAGCAAGCCAUGUUAAAUAAAUGGAUCUUCAAGAGGAAGACGGACACUGAUAGUAGUGUUACUAUCUACAAAGCUCGACUUGUCACAAAAAGGUUUUCGACAAGUUCAAGGUGUUGACUACAAUGAGAUUUUCUCAACUGUAGCGAUGCUUAAGUCUGUCCGAAUCAUGUUAGCAAUUGCCACAUUUUAUGAAAUCUAGCAAAUGGAUGUCAAAACUGCAUUCCUUAAUGGAUUUAUUAAAGAAGAGUUGUAUAUGAUGCAACCAGAAGGUUUUGUCAAUCCUAAAGAUGCUAACAAAGUGUGCAAGCUCUAGCAAUCCAUCAAUGGACUGGUGCAAGCAUCUCGGAGUUGGAAUAUACGCUUUGAUGAGUUGAUCAAAGCAUAUGGUUUUAUGCAGACCUUUGGAAAGGCCUGUAUUUACAAGAAAGUGAGUGGGAGCACUAUAGCCUUUCUGAUAAGUAUAUGUGAAUGACAUAUUGUUGAUCGGAAAUAAUGUAGAAUUUUCUGGAAAGCAUAAAGGAGUGUUUUAAAGGAUUUUUUCAAAGAAAGACCUCAGUAAAGCUACUUACAUAUUGAGCAUCAAGAUCUAUUGAGAUAGAUCAAGACGCUUGAUAAGAUUUUCAAUUAGUACAUACCUUGACAAGAUUUUGAAGUAGUUCAAAAUGGAACAGUCAAAGAAAGAGUUCUUGCCUAUGUUGCAAAGGUGUGAAAUUGAGUAAGACUCAAAUCCCGACCACGGCAGAAAAUAGAAAAGAGAAUGAAAGUCAUUCCCUAUGCCUCAGUCAUAGGUUCUAUAAAGUAUGCUAUGCUGUGAACCAGACCUAUUGUAUAUCUUGCUUUGUGUUUGGCAUAGGAAUACAAUUUUGAUCUAAUAGUAGAUCACUGGACAGCGGUCAAGAAUAUCCUUAGUGAGGACUAAGGAAAUACUUCUCGAUUAUGGAGGUGAUAAAAGAGCCCGUCAUAAAAAGUUACAUCGGUGCAAGCUUUUACACCGAUCCGGAUGACUCUAAGUCUCAAUCUGGAUACAUAUUGAAAGUGGGAGCAAUUAGCUAGAGUAGAUCCAUGCAGAGCAUUGUAGACAUAGAAUAUUUGCAAAAUACAUACGGCUCUGUAUGUGACAGACCCGUUGACUAAACUUCUCUCACGAGCAAAACAUGAUCAUACCUUAGUACUCUUUGGGUGUUAAUCACAUAGCGAUGUGAACUAGAUUAUUGACUCUAGUAAACCCUUUGGGUGUUGGUCACAUGACGAUGUGAACUAUGGGUGUUAAUCAUAUACAGAUAUGAAUAUUGAUGUUAAAUCACAAGGCGAUGUGAACUAGAUUAUUGACUCUAGUGCAAGUGGGAGACUGAAGGAAAUAUACCCUAGAGGAAAUAAUAAAGUUAUUAUUUAUUUCCUUAUAUCAUGAUAAAUGUUUAUUAUUCAUGCUAGAAUCGUAUUAACCGGAAACAUAAUACAUGUGUGAAUACAUAGACAAACAUAGUGUCACUAGUAUGCCUCUACUUGACUAGCUCGUGAAUCAAAGAUGGUUAAGUUUCCUAGCCAUGGACAAAAGAGUUGUCAUUUGAUUAACGGGAUCACAUCAUUAGGAGAAUGAUGUGAUUGACUUGACCCAUUCCGUUAGCCUAGCACUUGAUCGUUUAGUAUAUUGCUAUUGCUUUCUUCAUGACUUAUACAUGUUCAUGUAACUAUGAGAUUAUGCAACUCCCGUUUACCGGAGGAACACUUUGGGUGCUACCAAACGUCACAACGUGGGUGAUUAUAAAGGAGUACUACAGGUGUCUCCAAAGGUACGUGUUGGGUUGGCGUAUUUCGAGAUUAGGUUUUGUCACUCCGAUUGUUGGAGAGGUAUCUCUGGGCCCUCUCGGUAAUGCACAUCACUAUAAGCCUUGCAAGCAAUGUGACUAAUGAGUUAGUUGCGAGAUGAUGUAUUACGUAACGAGUAAAGAGACUUGCCGGUAACGAGAUUGAACUAGGUAUUAGAUACCGACGAUCGAAUCUCGGGCAAGUAACAUGCAGAUGACAAAGGGAACAACGUAUGUUGUUAUGCGGUUUGACCGAUAAAGAUCUUCGUAGAAUAUGUAGGAGCCAAUAUGGGCAUCCAGGUUCUGCUAUUGGUUAUUGACCAAGAAUAGUUCUAGGUCAUGUCUACAUAGUUCUCGAACCCGAAGGGUCCGCACGCUUAAGGUUUCGAUGGCAGUUAUAUUAUGAGUUUAUGAGUUUUUAUGUACCGAAGGAGUUCGGAGUCCCGGAUGAGAUCGGGGACAUGACGAGAAGUCUCGAAAUGGUCGAGACGUAAACAUCGAUAUAUUGGACGACUAUAUUUGGAGUUCGGAAAGGUUUCGAGUGAUUCGGGUAUUUUUCGGAGUACCGGAGAGUUACGGGAAUUCGCCGGGGAGUAUAUGGACCUUAUUGGGCCAUACAGGAAUAGAGGAGAGAGGCCAAAAGGAAGGAGGCCUGCGCACCCCCUCUGGUCCGAAUUGGACAAGGGCGCAGCCCCCCUUUCCUUCUUCCUCUCCCCCUCUUUCCCCUUCUCCUACUCCAACAAGGGAGGUGGAAUUCUACUAGGACUAGGGAGUCCUAGUAGGACUCCACACUUGGCGCGCCCCCUCCUAGGGCCGGCCUCCUCCACCCUUGCUCCUUUAUAUACGGGGGCAGGGGGCACCCCAUGACACACAAGUUGAUCUACGUGAUCGUUCCUUAGCCGUGUGCCGUGCCCCCCUCCACCAUAUUCCACCUCGGUCAUAUCGUCGUGGAGUUUAGGCGAAGCCCUGCGCCGGUAGAACAUCAUCAUCAUCACCACGCCGUCGUGCUGACGGAACUCAUCCCCGACACUUUGCUGGAUCGGAGUCCGGGGAUCGUCAUCGAGCUGAACGUGCUGAACUCGGAGGUGUCGUACGUUCGGUACUUGGAUCGGUCGGAUCGUGAAGACGUACGACUACAUCAACCGUGUUGCCAUAACACUUCCGCUUAUGGUCUACAAGGGUACGUGGACAUUACUCUCCCCUCUCGUUGCUAUGCAUCACCAUGAUCUUGCGUGUGCGUAGGAAAUUUUUUGAAAUUACUACGUUUCCCAAUAGAGGAUGGGUUUUGAAGACCAUGAAAGUAUGGAAACCAAAAAAAUUAUCCUAAGUACCCAAUAUGGUGUGGAUUUCCAAGUAAAGCUGUACAAUGCUGAGAGUGUAAUCCAUUUUGGUUGCAAAAAUUGGAAAGCACUUUGCAAGAUGUAUGGUUUUGAUGAGGGUAUGCUUGUCACCAUGGAUCUUGGUGAUCCUACAAUCGAGUAAGAGAGACCUUCGAUUUGGGUCCUUGUGGAUACACCUCCAAUUCUUUCCCCAUGUGAGCUUAACAUAGUUAUUAAGUAAUUUAUAUUGUUUAUUUCAAAAUAGUUGACAUCUUAUUUCCAUUAACAGAUUAUUUUCAUUCUUCAAAGAAUGUGUGGAAGAUGGUAGACAAAACCCACUACACCGAUGGCUCCGAAUUAACUUAUAGGGUGAAAAAUCAUCUGAUCGCAUUUUGUACUGAUCUUGAGAAUUACAAUGUCUAUAAUCGAACUCCUCAACAUUAUGGUCAAUACGUGCCACUAGUGCAUGUGUUGAACUACGGUAACUACCAUGGAGAUACCCUGGUAAGAGUUUUUACUAUUACGACAUCCGUGCAUCUUUUUGCACACUUCUAAAACUAGUACAUCAUUGCUAACUACGAAGUUAUUACUACUUUUUCAACAGAUAAUCCCGAAUGAUUGUGUGCCUCAUCUGAUGUAUACGCACGGUACCCUUCAUGUUUUGAACAUACAACCAGGUCUUCCUACGAAUCUGAACUGUCCAUACCGGGUUUCUAAAAGAAGUGGAGACAUGACAAUCAAAGAAUGGAAAAAAUGUAUGGACAGUCGUAAGGAGCUUCUUGGAAGCAAAAGGCAGCGAAGCGCAAGAAUUGGAGACAGGAUGAUCUCCAUUCUUCAUAAUGGAGAGUCAGGGUCUAUAUUAUUUUAUGCUAUUUUACCUUAAUGGUGUUUAGGUCCUACCUGAUACUGAUAAUCAUGUGCUAAGAACAAUUAUGUAGGGUUGGGUUCGAUGACUAUGAGAAUGAUGAUCGUAUGACUUAUUAUUAAUAACGAGUAGAAGUUGUAUGAUGAUGCAUGAUUAGUAGGACUUGUUAUUAUAUAUGAUGAUGUAUGAUGCGAGCAUGCAUGAGUUAUUAUAUCAGCGGGUGAAAUGAACAUAACAGCAGCAUUGGUAAACCAAGGACGAAGAUAUAAGAGAGGACACUUCUCUCUAUUAGCUAGCUAAUAACAACCUAAAAAUAACCCCCAAACCCCCUAAAGCAGCCACUUUUUAAAAAAAAACAUCGACUUUUGGUCCCGGUUGAUGCCACCAACCGGGACCAAAGGCCCCCCUGCCUGGGCUCGACGCACCGGCCACGUGGAGGCACAUCUGUCCCGGUUUGUGUUUGAACCGGGACUAAAGGGGGAGGUAUUAGUAACGACCCAUUAGUCCCGGUUCAUGAACCGGGACUAAAGGCCCUUACAAACCGGGACAAAUUCCCCCUUUUCUACUAGUGUACUAACCAGAAUUGAAGCAUCGAGAUUCCCCUCCAUGCCAUUGGCUGCCAGAGUGGUAGUUAGAGGGGCUGUGAUUCCAUGUGCUCUUUGGUGAAGUCUGGAGGGGAGAAUUUGCCCCGGCCUCCAAGGAAUAGAGGAGGAAAAGCUAAACACGUUCUUUGUUUUCUUUGAUCAUUUGCUCUUCUUUAAUUUACCAUCUUAAUGAUUUUCCCUUUUUACUUGCUUUAAAUUAUUUUCAUGUUGUUGGUUGGAUAAUGAUCAAUAUUUUGAUCUAGUUUGUUGGAGGUGAUAACAGAUUAAACAGAAUAUUAUCUAGAUCAUGAGUGUUCAUCCCAUUUUCUUCGAGAAUUAACGAACUAGUUAAUCUUCAUCUAUAAUCAAUUGGAUAGGAUUAAGGGUACAGGUAUGCAUGUAACCACCCAAUGCACACACACAUGCAUGUUCGAGUUGAGAAGUUUGGGGCUGAGGAGAGCUACCGAACAGGCCCUAAGUAGAUGCUCUCCUUUGAGAACCACCAUUCAUCUCAUGUUCAACCCCACCCCGUCAUUGCUUCUCGGUUUCUUUGUGGAAUCCUUUUCCCUAUUGAAGGGCACAUCUCCUGGCAAUCCACUUCUGAGCCCAGGCUCAGCUGCACCCGCCCUGACAAAAAAAAUCAAAACAAAUACUAGGAAAAAUCAAAAAAAAUUGUGUGGUACAUAAUUUGAUGCGUGAGGUCCGCUCUAGUUUUAAAAUCAUUUGGACAUAUGAGCAGCUCUCGGCAAAAAAGACAAAUUCGGGGUCUGUAAAAAUGUUUAUUGUUCAUGCAUUGUUUUGACCUAAUUUGUCUUUUUUGCUGAGAGCUUCUCAGAAGUCCAAAUGAUCUAAAAUUUGGAGCGAACCUCACGUGAUAAAUUGUCUACCAUACAAAAAAUUGGAAUUUUUUGAAUUUUUAUUUUAUUUUUUGUGAUUUGUUUUUUGGGCGGGUGCAGAUGAGUCUGGGCACCGAAACACCGCACGCCACAUCUCCUCUUCAUCCUACUAUUUCAAGAGGAAUUAAUUAAAUGCACCAGGACAUGAAACUGUUUGUCAUCACCCCAAAAACUUGAUAAGCUGUGAGAAAAAAAAUCUCCGACCAAAAGCCACCAAGCAAAACCUUGUCCAACAAGGAUAUCAAAGAAGAGUGCGACCACACACGAAAUCAUUCAAUAGCUAGGAACAAAUACGCUCUCUAUAACAACAAAAAAGUCAUCGAGGAUGUAAAGUGAAGGUAUUUUAACAUCGAAGUAUCUUCAAACUGGAUGCAUGAGAAAAUAUCUCUCAAGUAAAAUAUUGUUUGACGACGUAAAAAGGUAUGACAUAAGAUAAUGAAAAAAAAAUUAUCUCCAUAAAUCUUGGAAUAGAUGUGAUCUAUUUUUCUUGCAACAAAAUGUGACAAACAUGACCCCAAGAUUUAUCUCGAUAAAUCAAUCUUGGAAUAUAAUGUUUUUUUAGAAAUAACCACAUAUAUUUCAUUAGAAAAACAUAUUACAAAGACAUGUGGUCAUCAAAGAAGACACACAUAGAUGUCUUGCAAUAUUGCAUCAAAGACUUCACAAGAACUAAAACUAUAAUUUCACUUCGGCAGAAUCUUGUGCCACGCCCAAACGUCGCCCACCAUCGUCCUCCUUCGCCGCUGAGGUAACGUCGAAGAAAGAGGGGAACCGCCUUCAUACCAAGAUCUAGAGGAGCACCUUUGCAUACAAUGGUGUUUUUCGAGCCGAUGAACCCGACCGUCGCAAGCGACGAGACCGAGAUUUUGUGACAUGUCGUCCGGGGUUCUUCCUCGUGUCCGCUAGAUCCCAGCGUUGUCCACUUCAUUCGACUAGGUCGAAGAAGAUGAAUGCCGCUGCAUUCCAUCAUCCACGCACCCCACUGCAAGACACCAAACACAACCGCAACAGUCGGCACCAAGGCCACCCAAGAGAGAGUGAAGCGCCGACCAUCAGACACAAAUGUUACAAGAUCUGAAGACCGGCAAGAAGACCGAGCCACCUGCUCCCCAGCGUCGUCCAUUAGAGCGCCAUCGGAUAAAGGUAGAGCGGAAGCAAAUUAUUUUGACGCGGCGCCGUCCACACCAUUGAUGCAACAUCUCUGAAAACAAACUAUGCCUAUCCUAUAUCCCUACCUGACAGAAACUGUUGUGACCUAUUUGUCUUGUUAAAAUAGUGGAUCAACUGCACAUGAUGGUAUGUAGCAUGACUCUGCACAGAUAGCUUUCUUAUAAAUUUGAGGCAUAGAGGUUUCGUGGUGUAGUUGGUUAUCAAGACCUUCUAACACACUGAAGGUCUCCGGUUCGAACCCGGGCGAAGCCACUCCGUUUUUUUCUUUUUUUUUCACUGUGUAAAAAAAAGCAAAAAAAACAAGAAAAUAAAAAAGAUGAUGAUGGCCCAUACAGGUCUCCAACCUGUGACCUUCGCGUUAUUAGCACGACGCUCUAACCAGCUGAGCUAAUAGGCCUUUUGUGACAUUUUACAUUUUGUUCCUCAUAUUUCAGAUAGGACUUGUAUAUUAUCAUCCCUUCUCGUUGUAAUAAAUAGAACACGUAAUAGGCCUUUUGGUUCUCUUAAGUUAUUUUAACUUCUAUAUUGCAAAGAACUGAAUAUUAAGUACCUUCGCCAGAAGGGCUAAUGGUCUUUUGCUGUUGGUCUUCUCAUGCUGCGGUUUUCCUCUUCCCUAUGGUUUCAUUUGCAGCAGUAUUUUCUUUUCUUCUGAUUGACGAGUUAUGUAUUAGAUUGUCGAGUUUUGUGGUUUAUAGCGCAGGAUUUUGUUUCUACAAAAGGUAGAUCCCAACAAGACACCAUGGUAUGCGUAUCUUGUAGUCUAUCUGUCUUAUUGAGAAAAUACAUUAAUGUCUCAUGGUGUAGUAGGUUAUCACGUCAGUCUAACACACUACAUGGCGAAGCCAAAUUGUUAUUGUUUUUUCUUUUCUGUAAAACUACAAAAUGCACCAAUAAAUCUUUGUCAUUUGCUAGUUUCCCAUUUCAGUACCUAUGUUUGUAAGUAUUCUUCCCUCUUGGAAUCUCCAUUUUGCCACUGUUUCUCACUUUCUGUGAUGUGAUGUGUGCGCAAAUAUUCCCACAACAACUAAACAAUAAUAAAGCCAUAUACGCAAGCGAUCGAAUAAUGGCAACUUUAUAUUACCACUCAAGGCACAUCUCCAAACCGACCUGUCUGUCCAUAGUUGCGUCUCAACACUCGGGGCAGAAGGCUCGCUCUCAACCACUGCUUCAUAUCACCAGGAUCCACACGGCCAAAUAGUGUCCUCCAUUUUCGAAGUGAUGACAGUAUAUCUCGUGGGAAAAUUGUUUCCACAGUUCAAUAUCCCUCCCUUUGAUGAAAAAAAAUUACACUCAGCUUCUGCAUCACAGGAUGCAUAACGAAAAUUGUUUUGUUCGUUCUGUGCUGGAACACUAUAUCUUGUGUAAAAUAAAUGUUUCAACAAUAUCGACAUUCCCUCCCAUAAAAUAAAAUCAUCAAUAGCUCACUUCUCUAUAUACCUGGAUGGUAAGUAAUGGCCGGUGUGAGCACCCAAGACGGCACGCCAAUUAUCACCACUACGUAGACAAGUCACUAUAUGCACCCAAUUAUGCAAGAAAAAUAAUAUAAGUCAAGAACUGUCUGGACGCAGAUGGAGCUUUCUACAGAUGGGGACAAGAAUUUGGCACCACCCACUCAGUUUACCUCUCACCUUUUUGCAUUGCUUUCAUAUGUAAAAAAUAGUGAGUGGAUUUGCGAUCUGCCUUAAAAUGACAAGAUGGGGGUUGUGGGUUUUAAAAACUUCCAAAUGCAUUCUUUAUGUUCACAUGUUUAUUUAUUUUGUAUUUGUUUGUGCAUGUCAUAAAAAUUAUAAAUUUCCACAAGCAUACAUAAUAUUCAAUGAUCUACAUCGACAAUAGGGUUUGAGAUUUUUCAAAGCAUGACAAAAAAAUCAAAUGAGGUCGGCUGGAAAUUAAAGAUAUGUUCGGAGAUCCAAACAAUUAUGAUCUCUUUGAUACAAACUUCAAAGGAAUCAUUAUAGAAAAAUAGGAGAUUAUAAUUGUUAGAUUAUUUUCCUACGGGACUAGUUGGGCUGGAAACCAUAACAAUAUUUUCUAUUGCCUACUUGACAUGUAUUUGUAAGGAAAAUUAUGUCGAGCCAAAUCUUCUGAAAAUAAUUUCGUUGGUUCAAUGACAACUAUAUGCUUGCACCUAAUGCUUUAGAAAAUUCUUGAAUUUUUCCCUCUUGCGAUAAAUCAACAUCCAUAUUUUACGCAUUGCACUAUCUUCAGUUCUCAUAAGAUUCAACAUAGCAUGACACGAAAUAUGUAUGUUAAUUUUUCUGGUUCCUAUCUUUUUAAAAUGCCGCAAAAGGAUGUGGCAUGUAAUCUUCAAAAAAUAGUGGGAUUGUGAUAGUUAUUGAAAUGCAUGUAGGACGGAGACUAAACUUUCAGUAAAAUUCAACUUAUAAUACUAAAACUGGAAAAGUUGCCAAAACCUACGGCAACCAAGAGCUGCCAAGAUUUCUUAAAUAAAAAACCUUUGCGCGACAUUCCCCUAAGAAGACAUAAAUGUUUCCUUGUCUUGACAUUCAAAAACACUGAGUGAGGGUUCUCGGCCGAAUUUCACUAAGAACUUGCAUAAAAGAGAGCUGUCUAUUAUUAUUAUUAUUUUCUAGGGUUUCAGAAUCUAGUUGGAUAUUGCUUUAAUUUGGAAUUCAUAAUUUGCCGAGAAACAGCACUAUAAAGUAAAGCAUUCCUAAACUUGACCNNNNNNNNNNNNNNNNNNNNNNNNNNNNNNNNNNNNNNNNNNNNNNNNNNNNNNNNNNNNNNNNNNNNNNNNNNNNNNNNNNNNNNNNNNNNNNNNNNNNNNNNNNNNNNNNNNNNNNNNNNNNNNNNNNNNNNNNNNNNNNNNNNNNNNNNNNNNNNNNNNNNNNNNNNNNNNNNNNNNNNNNNNNNNNNNNNNNNNNNNNNNNNNNNNNNNNNNNNNNNNNNNNNNNNNNNNNNNNNNNNNNNNNNNNNNNNNNNNNNNNNNNNNNNNNNNNNNNNNNNNNNNNNNNNNNNNNNNNNNNNNNNNNNNNNNNNNNNNNNNNNNNNNNNNNNNNNNNNNNNNNNNNNNNNNNNNNNNNNNNNNNNNNNNNNNNNNNNNNNNNNNNNNNNNNNNNNNNNNNNNNNNNNNNNNNNNNNNNNNNNNNNNNNNNNNNNNNNNNNNNNNNNNNNNNNNNNNNNNNNNNNNNNNNNNNNNNNNNNNNNNNNNNNNNNNNNNNNNNNNNNNNNNNNNNNNNNNNNNNNNNNNNNNNNNNNNNNNNNNNNNNNNNNNNNNNNNNNNNNNNNNNNNNNNNNNNNNAAUUUAGGUUUUUAUAAACUUGGUCAAACAUAGAAACAUUUGAAGAAAAAAAGUAGAGCUUAUAUUUUGAAAAUGGGAUUUAGUAAGUACACCAAUAAUUCGAUAUACCCACAAAAUGCUGGCUUUAGUUCCUUUCAUGGUUCCUUUGUUGUAAGAAAGAAGCUAGUAGACACAAAGGGAAUCAAAUCAUGGGAGGAGGCGGCCCUAUCCUUAUUCCUCUUCCCCACGCGGUUGCUCCCGUCCAUCCUUUGCCAAAGGUGCAGCAUCUCGCAUUUCCUUCUUCAUCUUCUCUUUCUCCUCCUUCCUUGAUGCUCACUCGCCUAUAAAUAGCCCUCGCUGCCUGCCAUUGUUACUCAAGCCAGCAAGCAAGAAGCACAGAAGAAGCUCCUAGCCAACACCAAUCAAAGCUUCCAUCCAAUCCCAAGCAACCUCGACGAUGUCUUGCUGCGGAGGAAACUGCGGCUGCGGCAGCGCCUGCAAGUGCGGCAACGGCUGCGGCGGCUGCAACAUGUACCCGGAGGCCGAGGCCGCCGGCGCCACCCUCCUCGUCUCCGCCACCGCCACCCACAAGGCGUACGUCCCUUCUCUUCUCCUCAGCUCAUACAUCAUCAUGCACUCGAUCGUAAUAGAGAGAAUAUGACUGUAUGUUGAUCUUGGUAUGGAUGGGGUACGUGCAGGAGCUCCAGCGGCAUGGAGAUGGCGGCGGAGAACGGCGGCUGCGGCUGCACCCAGUGCAAGUGCGGCACCAGCUGCGGCUGCUCCUGCUGCAGUUGCUAGAUCCAUCAUCGGUCAUGCAUGCACCGCGUGCAUCAUAUCUUUGAUCGAUCCAUCCAUCUACUUACCAUGUAACGCUACCUGAUCGAGGGUCUUUGUAUGUAUGUACGCACCUGCCUGCAUGAGCAGAGCAGGUGCCAUGCCAUGCAUGUAAACCCCUAAAUAAAAUCUCCCGUGGUUUAACCUAUAUAAAUGCGUUUGUGUUAUAGACCAGCUUCUGGCCCACGUUUACUAUCAACUUGCAAGGUGCCUGGGUUGUUAAUAGACCAGCUGAAUGAGCUUCAGGUGCUACAUUCGUGAAAAGGACUCGUGGUUUAUAACGCAUAUUGUAGCCUAGUAGCCACAUAUCAGCUGCGCUCAAUAUGCAGGAUUUCCAUUGGAUCAGAUCUUUCGCUUUGACGAAUUUGGACCUAGCGAAAAGGAUUCUUAAGCCUUCGCGCAAACAAGCAAAGUAGAAGCAAGACGAGGAAGUGGAGCUGUCGUAGAAGCAGUAGCUUCCCCCGACAAUAUACAAUACAACAGUAGCGACCAUGAAUAAAAAAGCCCCUUGUUUAACGAGUUCGCUGCUUUUCCCAGGCCGGAGAAGGGCAACUACUUAUUGAUUGAUCGCCUUUCUUUGAUAUGUGUUCAAUUUAGUAUAAUACAAACUACAACUAGAUCAAAGCGGAAGGGCCACUCACUAUAGAAGCUAUAACUAGAAAAGCCCUAGCCAAUAGUUUAGUAGUCGGCCAAACCCCCAUGCUCACGACAUGUUCUUGAUAUUGAUUGAGUUGGAGAGAGUCAGAGACUACCACGGAAUCCUUCCAUAGUCACCCCGGUGACCUUCGUCACCAAAGCGUCACAACAGUUUCCAAGACCCCUCAUAUAAUCUCCAGUGGGGAUCAGUCGGAGCACAUAAGAAUGCCGACCACUACAUAAGCCGCUGGCGGAGAAAGCUCGAAGAGCUUCCCUUCAUUCGCUUCGCGGGAGUCGCACACAGCACAUAGCUGGAAGUCAGAGGGCCCGUACUACCUGCCUAACCCUUCGCUCUGAGGGACCGUAGAACGGAAAGCGCCUUCUAAACAACUCGGCAGAAGGGAAGGGGCCUAUGUAUUUGCAUGACCCCUGCGGAUUUGACCCUACCUACACCCGGAGCCAACCCCCUAGCGGUCCUGCCACCACGCCGCAGAACAGGAGCUCGUGUGGAACCUUGGAUUUCUGGCAUAACAGCGAUGGAAGGUAUCAAAAUAUUACGGCCGCAUAACCAUAACAUAGUAUAUACGCUAAGGUCGGCCAAAAUAUGGACACCCGAAGGGCCCGGCGUGCACAAUCCUAUCCUAUCCGAGCCCGUCAUUGCAUGCACUUCGGACAGCCGUCCGUAGCAUCAUAAGGAGCACCUCCCUUUCGAGGUACCCAAAUGGAACGGUCUUUAUUUGUGUUGUUGGUUGGUCUUUCUCAAUGUGGUCUAUAGCACGAAUAACCAUUCUUUACAAGAUAGGGCCGUUCACAUGAAAGAAAAUACAAAAUCCAUUCUUCAUGGUCGGACGCAUUUCUCCAAAUCCUCCAGGAUCACAAGUGGAAUGCUAAGCAAGGGUGGGGAGGCUGCGAGCUCUGCGUCGAAUAGAAAGAAGCAAGCGGGGGUGUUGCCGUAGCGCGCCGGAGAGCAAGCGUAGGCAACCAAACUAAAUAAGGCUACAAAAGUAGCUAGCUAGCGUUUUUAAGCUGGCUGCCUUUUCUAGCGCGCGUACUCUUCUGUGGAGUCGCAAGGAACGAGCCUUGUCUUCCCUCCAACGACUAGCUCCCUUUUCUUAUUUCGGUCACCCUUCUCUUGUCGUGGAAGGACUUUUGCUUGUGGUGUGGUCCAACCCGUGGACGGAGUCGUCCUCAUCCCCCCAUUGCUCAGUGCUCCCUGCAGCUUCGCUGGGCUUUACCCGCGUGGGCGCGGGCUUCUAUAAGAGAAUGAAAAGCUCUCUUUUUACAAUAAAAUGCGAACCACACGGAGCCCACCCUUUUUCGUUUUUUGCCGCCACUGGGUGGCCACAGGGGAAACACAUCCCGGCCGCCUCUCAGGAAAGGGGGGUGGGCCUACCUAUCCCGAGGGAGCAGCUGAGAGGUUCAAUAUGCCGAGCCGAAGGGCAGAACUUCAAUGCGUGAUCAUAGUAUGUCACCUCGUCUCGUCCUCGCAGCAUCGAAGAGUACCUAUGCACUAUGUUCGGUUCACUGAUAAGGAAGAUAGAGUUGGGGUGGGGGUCUACGAUGUGAUACUAUAGUAUGCCCCGGGGAGAAAGAUGCGCAACUCAAAACGGAAGCAGGAAGCGUGUUGUCAAAAAUGUUGGAGGUUACCAGAUCUCCGAGACUACCAUUGAUCCGACAGAGCGGAACGACCAGAAAAAGAAGUGGAGUUAGAAAGCCGUAUGAUAGGUGGUAACUAUCUUGUACGGUUCGGGGGGUAAGCGGCGUACUCUGGGGGAAUAUUAGGCUCUAUCGACCAUACAGGGAAUUGGAGGUAGCAUUUUACUUAUGUUAAGUCAUGGACUAGUUUCUUCAGCCCUUUUUCUAUGUGUUGGUGUUCUAUAUGACCGACAUAAACUCGACUUGUGAGAUAUUAUGGAGGUUUAGUGAGCACCAUGCCAAAUUUCUCUACCAUUUUCUUAUUUUUCACUUUAGCCAAUAUGAGUUUACCUGGCACUAGCAGCUUUAUCGGGGAAUUUCUAAUCUUAGUAGGAGCUUUCCAAAGAAAUUGCUUAGUAGCCACAUUUGCUGCGCUUGGGAUGAUUUUAGGCGCGACAUAUUCCCUUUGGCUAUAUAAUCGUGUGGUUUCUAGAAAUUUAAAACCCGAUUUCCUCUAUAAAUUCUCUGAUCUAAUUGGUAGAGAAGUUUCCAUAUUUCUACCUUUUCUUGUUGGAGGGGCGACCGUCCGUUGAACUACCAAAAAAGGGUAAACCAAUGUGAUCAUGACAUUGUAGGAGCUUGCGAUGGGACGGAUGUGACUUCCCUCAUAAGUAAUGGGUGGCAUAGCUCGUAGCAGAAGUCCCCUUUUUUAUCCAUUUCUUUAUUACCCCAGAGGGGCCCAGCCUUGCGGGACCGAGAGAAAGAAAGGACGGGGGGCGACCAUGCAUGGCACUUCUCGACCGUGUCUCCGAGGAAUAGUUGAACGAGCGACUCAUGAAAGCUACCGGGUCGGACGAGCCAAUAACUCGAACGUGUUCAGUCAGUUUUUUGAGCAAGAAUCACAGUGUUACCUUACCUUCACCAUGAUACGGACUCCAAGUUCUUAUGGCAGAGCACGAGGAGUUUCCUUCAAUAUGAUGAUGAGAAUGGAAACCAGAAGCACGACUGGGUCUUCAUAGUCCGAGAUCAUACUUAUAUAUCAGUCACAGUAAUGUAAGCAUGAAAAUUUUUGGUAGUACCGGUGAACCAGAUGGCCGCAGCGAGGGAAUCUGGGAUGGAGGACUCGUAAUAUCUCUAUAGAUCUAGCAAAAGCGAAAGACCCUAACAUCAGGGGCUGACCAAUGAGCUCACUCAGGCCCCGCUGGGCGGUCCAAAGUGGGUGCGAGCUGGAAUUGCCAUAGCUUAUGGUUAGAGCAAUAGGAAAGGGCCCUACAGAGAGAACAGUCGGGAUAACGAGCGUGGAGCCCACUUGGCAGGCAGCAGGAGCAGCGGGCAAGUGCUUGCUUGGUAGGCUAACAGCCCUGUGAAUCGGGCGGGGCACUCGACGAAAGGGGGGCAUGCUGAGCAAGUACGCAAAAUUGGCCCUGUGGAGCUUUCAAAAAGAAAAGCAAGGACCACUACGGGAGGUCGAACCACGGACCGGAGGUAGUAGAACGUGAUCCGCACCGGUCAAUAUUGGAUCAAACAAUAGGGGACCAUAGCACUGACCCUUUUUUCAAGACAAUAGGUAUUGUUCCCUACCAAGACAAGGGACACUCUCAACGGAUCCUCCACGCGCUGGGCAUACCAUAGUUCUUCCGUUCGUCUUUAUCAUGGCGGAAACAGAACAAGAGGGAAAGACCCGGCCGACUCGCCAAGGGCUCGAGGGCGAGCCAUACGUGAGUGAGUCGAAUUCUGUUUACGUACUCGGUUUGGGUUCGGGCCCCUCUCGAUCUUUUGCGUAUAAGGGAAGGGGGAAGGAGUCUAAAUCUAUGGACAUUAAUGAACCACCAUUGAUGGACGUUGCACAUGACACAAGAAAUUUGACUCGACGAUCCGGUGCUAAUAGAAGUCGCUUACUCUCCGCCUAGCGAAGGUGCCAGAUCCUUAAAAUAAAGUAUCUAUCAGCCUAGUGUACCAACCACGUGGUACGACGGGCACUCAAAGACCUGACGAAUGAGGGGCCACCCCACCUAAGAGUGCUUAUGUCAUAUGGGAACUCUCGGCUGGAAACAAUCCUUAUGGUUUUUAUAUCCGGUUAGAAUAAUAAGAAAGAAUCAAAGUCCAUGUUGGUUGGUGAGCCUAGUGAUAGGAGACUAUCUAGCUUGGUUCAGAGAGCACUUGUUGGGUUUCAAAUUCAUUUUUUGCUAAAUGUUACGGCCUAAAUGUUGAACUAUUGACCCUACUUGUUCGGAUGGGUGUUCACCCCAAAGUGUUCCCGGACUGCAUGCAUACAUCCGUAAGUAACUUAGUGCAACAUGGCAAAUUUCAUUGAGUAGAAUCAGCAAACAAAAUAAAUCUUCUCCGGGUGACAGGGCCGCCUCGUUAAUAGACCAUGCAUAUUGUCGAGUUUUGUGUUUUAUAGCGCAAGAUUUUGUUUUUACAAAAGGUGGAUUCCAACAAGACACGAUGGUAUGCGUAUCUUGUAGUCUAUCUGUCUUCUUGAGAAAAUACAUUAAUGUCUCGUGGUGUAGUAGGUUAUCACGUCAGUCUAACACACUACAUGGCGAAGCCAAAUUGUUAUUGUUUUUUUUCCUGCAAAACUACAAAAUGCACCAAUAAAUCUUUGUCAUUUGCUAGUUUCCCAUUCUCGCGACUCUUAAUAUGAAGCCCAUGAAGACAUUAAAGAUAGCGGUGGACAGCUAAGGGCCUAAGGCCCAAGGGCGACUUAGGGCCCGUAGGUAUAAACCGCCAUAUAUGUAAAACGUGUAUUGUAAGGCAUGUAAAGAUAGUCACUGAGUCGGACACGUUGUCUAUGAGCCAUCCGGGACUCUAUGAUCCGCUGGGCGUCGACCUGUCUAUAUAAAGGGACGACCCGACGGCGGUUCAGGACAAGAAACAAGAGAUCGAAAGCUAGGUCAAGCAGAUUUGCUCCCUGAUAAUCGAGACAUAAAAAAUACCACCCAAAACUGGAUUAUAGGCUUUUACCUUCACCACAAGGGGCCGAACUAGUAUAAACCCUGUGUCCUUUGUCCUAUUUAACCCCUUUAAGCUAACCUAGAGGCGAUGGCUCCACGACUAAGUCCUUUCACGAGGACAUUUGUCGUGACUAUUCCACGACAGCUCUCCUCCCGAUGAGCACGUGCAGGUGUCUGAUCGCAUGCCUUCGGUAAUCAAAUAGCUACCCCACAUGGCACCUCCUAGCCAAUAAAAAAAGGAACGCGUGGUGGCACGUAAUUGGUAAGUAGAACGCCCACGGUUUCAAUAAUAGUUGUGUUUCCGAUUUGUAACGUGACAACACUUGUUCCAAAAUGACUUUGUUGAUUUUUAAUGUGUGCGUCUUCGCAAAUCGGACAGAAAAAUUACCACAGCAUGUUGGUGCCAUGUCAUGACACCAUGCCAAGUUUCAUGAUUUUCAGGCAUGUUUUGGACACCAUGCCAAGUUUCAUGAUUUUCAGACGUGAUUUUCAAGCAUGUUUUGGACACCAUGCCAAGUUUCAUGAUUAACCGCAGAAUGUUGGUGUCAUCAUGACACCAUGCCAAGUUUCAUGAUUUUCAGACGUGUUUUGGAUUUACAUCAAUUAAAAAACCAAGUUUCUCAAUCUUUCCGGCCGAGCCAUGACGCCCAGAUGUUUGAAUUUCAUUCUCAUUUCUUGCACGGGACUUAGAAAUUCACCCAAGAACACACAUGUGAUUUUUCAACCAACUUUGGUGCACUGGAGCAUGUGCUUGUAGUUCAAAUUUGAAUUAUGCAUAUUAAAUGCCCGGAAAUUCAACUAAUGUAUAAAAGAGUCCAAAUGAAUCCAGAAUAAUUCCACAAUUUUGCAUGAUACUUCUAUUUGGUCUAAUAUGCCCGUGUAAAAAAAUUAAGGUGGGAGAAGACAGUGUACGUAUGUCGUUUCGCACACGGAGGUGACACGUUCCCUCUCGGAACCACGAGCCUUCUUGAGAGAAGCUCCAGUUUGCAAGAAGCUUAUACCAAAGCUUGUCCCAAUUCGGCCAAAAAAAUAAUCGCAACAUGUUGGUGCCAUGUCAUGACACCAUGCCAAGUUUCAUGAUUUUUAGGUGUGUUUUGGAUUUACAUGAAUUAAAAAACCAAGUUUCUCAAAAUUUCCAGCCGAGCCACGACGCCCAGAUGUUUGAAUUUCAUUCUCAUUUCUCGCAUGGGACCUAUAAAUUCACCCAAGGACACACAUGUGAUUUUUUUCAACCAACUUUGGUGCACUAGAGCAUGUGCAUGUAGCUUAAAUUUGAAUUAUGCACAUUAAAUGACCAAAAAUUCAAUUAAUGUAUAAAAAAGGUCAAACAAACCCGGAAUAAUUCCAAAAUUUAGCACGAUACUUAUAUUUGGUCUAAUCUGCCUGUGUAAAUAAAUUAAGGCGGAGGAAGGCAGUGUACGUAUGUCGUUUCGCACAUGGAGGUGACACGUUCCUCUCGGAACCACAAGCCCUGUUGAGAGAACCUCCGGUUUGCAAGAGGCUUAUACCAAAGCUUGUCCCAAUUCGGCCAAAAAAUUUACCGCAGAAUGUUGGUGUCAUCAUGACACCAUGCCAAGUUUCAUGAUUUUCAGACGUCUUUUAGAUUUACAUCAAUUAAAAAACCAAGUUUCUCAAUCUUUCCGGCCGAGCCAUGACACCCAGAUGUUUGAAUUUCAUUCUCAUUUCUUGCACGGGACCUAGAAAUUCACCCAAGAACACACAUGUGAUUUUUCAACCAACUUUGGUGCAUUGGAGCAUGUGCUUGUAGUUCAAAUUUGAAUUAUGCAUAUUAAAUGACCAUAAAUUCAAUUAAAGUAUAAGAAAGUCCAAACGAACCCGAAAUAAUUCCAAAUUUUAACACGGCACUAAAAUAGUUCUAUGUUGCCUCUGUAAAAAAAUAAGGGGGCGGGAGGCAGCAUAUAUCGUUUCGAACACAAAGGUGACAUGUCCCCCCCCCCUCGGGAACCACGAGUCUUCUCGAGAGAAGCUCCGGUUUGCAAGAAGCUUAUACCAAAAACUUGUCCAAAUGCAGCCAAUUGUUUUACCUCAACAUGUUGGUGCCAUGAAAUGACACCAUGCUAUGUUUCGUGAUUUUCAUGUGAGUUUUGAAUUUCCAGGAAUUUAAAAAUCAAGUUUCUCAAUGUUCCUGACCGAGCCACGACGCCCAGAUAUUUGAAUUUCAUUCCCAUUUCUUGCAUGGGGCCUAUAAAUUCAGCCAAAGACACACAUGUGAUUUUUCAACAAAUUUUGGUGCACUGGAGCAUGUGCUUGUACUUCAAAUUUGAAUUAUGCACAUUAAACGUCAAGAAACUCAAUUAAUCCAUAAAAAUGCCAAACAAAGCCGGAAUAAUUCCAAAUUUAAACAUGACAAUCAUGUAGUUGCAUGUUCACUGUACAUAAAUGUUCUAGCAAUUCAAACACCAUCCCUUCCCUCCAUAACACUGAUAACCCACAAGUGUAGGGGAUCGCAACAGUUUUCGAUAAGUAAGAGUGUCGAACCCAACGAGGAGCUAAAGGUAGAAUAAAUAUUCCCUCAAGUUCUAUCGACCACCGAUACAACUCUACGCACGCUUGACGUUUGCUUUACCUAGAACAAGUAUGAAACUACAAGUACUUUGUAGGUGUGAUAGGAUAGGUUUGCAAGAUGAUAAAGAACACGUAAAUAAAAAGUAGGGGCUGUUUAGAUAAAGAUGCAAUAAAGUAAAUAUAGCGAGUGUGGAAAAGUGGUGGUAGGAGUUGUGGAAUUGUCCCUAACCAAUUGACUAUGUUACUAGACCGGUAAUCACUAUUGCAAUUCUAUUUGAGGGAGAGGCAUAAGCUAACAUACUUUCUCUACUUGGAUCAUAUGCACUUAUGAUUGGAACUCUAGCAAGCAUCCGCAACUACUAAAGAUUCAUUAAGGUAAAACCCAACCAUAGCAUUAAAGCAUCAAGUCCCCUUUUAUCCCAUAUGUAAACAACCUACUUACUCGGGUUUGUGCUUCUGUUCACUCAUGCCACCCACCAUAAGCAAAUCAUAAACAUAUUGCAAACCCUACAGCGGGAAUCCCUCACGCUUGCGCGACACGGAGGGCACCAUAGGACAGCACCAAUAAUAAAACAUGCAACUCAAACCAAUCAUAGCAAUUCAUCAAUCACCGAUAGGACAACGAAAAUCUACUCAGACAUCAUAGGAUGGCAACACAUCAUUGGAAAAUAAUAUGAAGCAUAAAGCACCAUGUUCAAGUAGAGAGUACAGCGGGAUGCGGGAGAGUGGACCGCUGAAUAUAGACGGGGGAAGGUGAUGGAGAUGUUGGUGAAGACGGCGGAGGUGUUGAUGUAGAUCGCGGUGAUGAUGAUGGCCCCCGGCAGCGUUCCGGUGCCACCGGAAGCAAGGGGGAGAGGGCCCCCUUUCUUCUUAUUCUUCCUUGACCUCCUCCCUAGAUGGGAGAAGGGUUUCCCCUCUGGUCCUUGGCUCCCAUGGCGUGGGAGGGGCGAGAGCCCCUCCGAGAUUGGAUCUAUCUCUCUGUUUCUGCGUUCUCUGAUUCUACCCCUUCACCGUUUCCUUUAUAUCUGGAGAUCCGUAACUCCGAUUGGGGUGAAUCUUUUGCUCAGAUUUUUCUCGUAAAAUUAGCUUUCUUGCGGCAAAAGUAGAGCAUCAACCAUCUUACGGGUGGCCCACGAGAGCCCAGGGCGCGCCCAGGGGUAGGGGGCGCGCCCCCUGUCUCGUGGCCACCUCGGACACUGUUUCGCGUUGAUUCUUCCUCCGGAAAAUCCAAAUUUUACAAAAUAAUUCUCCGUCCUUUUUAUCCCGUUUGGACUCCGUUUGAUAUUGGUUUUCUGCGAAACAUAAAACAUGCAACAAACAGGAACUGGCACUGGGCACUGGAUCAAUAUGUUAGUCCCAAAAAUAGUAUAAAAAGUUGCCAAAAAUAUAUGAAAGUUGAAGAAUAUUGGCAUGGAACAAUCAAAAAUUAUAGAUACGACGGAGACGUAUCAGCAUCCCCAAGCUUAAUUCCUACUCGUCCUCGAGUAGGUAAAUGAUAAAAAAAAUUGAUGUGGAAUGCUACCUAGCAUAAUCUUGAUCAUAUGUCUAAUCAUGGCAUGAAUAUUAAGAUACGAGUGAUUCAAUGCAAUAGUCUAUCGUUUGACAUAAAAACAAUAAUACUUCAAGCAUGCCAACCAAACAAUUAUGUCUUAUCGAAAUAACAUAGCCAAAGAAAGCUCAUCCCUACAAAAUCAUAUAGUCUGGCUAUGCUCCAUCUUCGUCACACAAAAUACUACCAUCAUGCACAACCCCGAUGACGAGCCGAGCAAUUGGUUCAUACUUUUUAAAGCGCUUCAGCUUUUUCAACUCUUACGCAAUACAUGAGCGCAAGCCAUGGACAUAGCACUAUGGUGGUAUAUGGUGGUGGUUGUGAGGACAAAAAAAGGGAGAAGAUAGUCUCACAUCAACUAGGCGUAUCAAUGGGCUAUGGAGAUGCCCGUCAAUAGAUAUCAAUGUGAGUGAGUAGGGACUGCCAUGCAACGGAUUCACUAGAGCUAUAAAUAUAUGAAAGCUCAGCAAAAGAAACUAAGUGGGUGUGCAUCCAACUUGCUUGCUCACGAAGACCUAGGGCAUUUUGAGGAAGCCCAUCAUUGGAAUAUACAAGCCAAGUUCUAUAAUGAAAAAUUCCCACUAGUAUAUGAAAGUGAAAGCAUAGGAGACUCUCUCUAUGAAGAACAUGGUGCUACUCUGAAGCACAAGUGUGGUAAAAAGAUAGUAACAUUGCCCCUUCUCUCUUUUUCUCUCAUUUUUUUUCAUUUUUUCUUUCUUUUUGGUGGGCUUCUUUGGCCUCUUUUUUUAUUUGGGCUUCUUUGGCCUCUUUUAUUUUUAAUAAAGUCUAGAGUCUCAUCCCGACUUGUGGGGGAAUCAUAGUCUCCUUCAUCCUUUCCUCACUGGAGCAAUGCUCUAAUAAUGAUGAUCAUCACACUUUUAUUUACUUACAACUCAAUAUUACAACUCGAUACUAGAACAAAGAUAUGACUCUAUAUGAAUGCCUUCGGCGGUGUACCGGGAUGUGCAAUGGUCUAGCAUAGCAACGACAUCAAAAAAACGGACAAGCCAUGAAAACAUCAUGCUAGCUAUCUUACGAUCAUGCAAAGCAAUAUGACAAUGAAUUCUCAAGUCAUGUAUAUGAUGAUGAUGGAAGUUGCAUGGCAAUAUAUCUUGGAAUGGCUAUGGACAUGCCAUAAUAGGUAGGUAUGGUGGCUGUUUUGAGGAAGGUAAAUAAUGAGUUCAUGAUACCGGCGAAAUUUGCUCGGCACAAUAGAGGCUAGCAAAGUGGAAGGGUGAGUGUGUGUAUAUCCAUGGACUCACAUUAGUCAUAAAGAACUCAUAUACUUAUUGCAAAAGUCUACUUAGCCCUCGAAGCAAAGUACUACUACGCAUGCCCCUAGGGGGAUAGAUUGGUAGGAAAAGACCAUCGCUCGUCCCCGACUGCCACUCAUAAGGAAAGCAAUCAAACAGCACAUCAUGCUCCAACUUCAUUACAUAAUGGUUCACCAUACGUGCAUGCUACGGGACUUGCAAACCUCCACACAAGUAUUUCUCAAUUUCACAAUUACUCAACUAGCACGACUCUAAUAUCACCACCUUUAUAUCACAAAACUAUUGCAAGGAAUCAAACAUAUCAUAUUCAGCGAUCUACAAGUUUAUGUAGGAUUUUAUAACUAACCAUGUGAAUGACCAAUUCCCGCCAUCUCUCUAAAAAGAUAUAAGUGAAGCAAGAGAGUUUAAUUCUUUCUACAAAAGAUAUGCCCACGCUCUAACAAAUAUAAAUGAAGCAAAAGAGCAUUCUACAAAUGGCGGUUUUCUAUGUGAAGAGAAACAGGCAAUCCAAACUUCAAACGAUAUACGUGAAGCACAUGAAGCAUCCACUACUAGGGAAAAGCCUAGCAGCAGCGCGGGUUUUAGGCCUAUCAGUAGCGUGGGCAGGAGCGCUACUGAUAAGGCGCUACAGCUAAAGCUUAGCAAUAGCGUGCCUAGACCCACGCUACUGCUAAAUUGACUUAGUAGUAGCGCUUCUCCAGAAGAGCGCUACUGGUAAUUAGUAGUAGCGCUUCUCCUUGCCCGCACUACUACUAUUAUUUAGUAUUUUAUUUCUUUUUUAUUUCAUGUUGUAUUCAUACACCUUUACACAAGUUUUCAUACAACAGGAAUUUAGAGAUUGUUUUUACAUCAUAAUGAGUUAUUACAUCACGGGGUGAAAGAACCAUGGACUAGUUUCAAGUGGAUGUCCAUCCACUUGAAACUAAUCCGCGGUUCUUUCACCCAAUGAUAUAAUAAUAUCAUCAUCAUCAUCAUAUCAUUAACAACUUAUCAUCAUAAUACAUCAUUGUCAUAUAACACCUCCUCAAGAUCAACUUAGCAAAUUGGUCACUAGUCGUAAUCACAAGUACUCCUCAUUAUCAACUCUAACACAUUACCACAUAAUAAACAUAUUGUACCUCAUAGGGCCUACUACAUUCGAUUAAGACCUACUACAUUUUCUAAGGUAAAAUAGCAAAAAAACAAGAUAGCCCCUGACUCUCCAUUAUGGAGAAUGGAGAUUAGCCUGUCUCCAAUUCUUUCCUUUCGCUGAAUGUUACUUCCAAGAACCUCCUUGCGAAUGUCCAUACAUUUCUUCCAUUCUUUGAUGAACAUGUGUUCACCGGUUUUAGAAAUCCGAUAUGCACAGGUGAGCUCCCUAGAUUUACCUGGUAGUAUGUUCAGAACUGUAAGGCGACCAUUCAGAUACAUCAGAUGAGGCACACAAUCCAUCGGGAGUUUCUGUUGAAAAACAUAGUAAUAACUUCAUAGUUAGCAAUGAUGUACUAGUUUUAGAAGUAUGCAAAAGAUGCACGGAUGUCGUAAUAGUAAAAAAUCUUACAAGGGUAUCUCCAGAGAAGUUACCGUGGUUCAACACGUGCACUAGUGGCACGUAUUCACCAUAAUUUGGAGGAGUUCGAUAAUAGUUAUUGUAAUCCUCAAGAAGAGUACAAAAUGCGAUCUGAUGAUUUUUCUCCUUAUAAGUUAAUUCGGAGCCAUCAGUGUAGUGGGUUUUGUCUACCAUCUUCCGCACAGUCUUUGAAGAAUCAAAAUAAGCUGUCAAUGGAAAUAAGUUGUCAACUAUUUUGAAAUAAACAUUAUAAAUUAGUUAAUAACUAUGUUUGAGAAACUCACAUAGCGGUACAAUCGGAAGCAUAUCAACAAGGACCCAAAUGUCCAUAUUGUCUUGCUCGAUGUCAGGAUUACCAAGAUCCAUGGUGACAAUCAUACCCUCAUAAAAACCAUACAUUUUGCAAAGUGCUUCCCAAUUUUGGCAACCAAAAUGGGUUACACUCUGAGCAUUGCACAAAUUUACUUCAAAAUCCAUAUCAUGAUGGGUCCUUAGGUGUAUUUUCUUUGUUUCAAAAUUUUCAUGGUCUUCAAAACCCAUCCUCUCCAAGACAUAGCGUCUUGCAUGGCAUGGGAUAAGCUAGUCAAAUUGUAAAAGAUGAAAAUUAGACGUUGAAAUAGUUGAAGUCAUGCUUAAUUACGAAAAAAAACACUUGUCAUUGUUCCGUACCGUUUCAACAUCGAAGGUCUCCUCGAGCUUAAUGCUGAAGCGCCGAUCUUCAUCCAGCUCAACGAACCUAUCGCACAUACCUCGAUCGUCGUGGCACCAGCUGCACUCCCCCGGGAGACUGUCGUCGUCCGAGUACGACAUUUCCUACGUUCAUAAUUCAAAGAUUAAACUUGUACAUAUUCUAGCACAAGUCGUGCCAGAAUUCACGGAAAAAUCCGGCAUGACCUUUGCGAAAAAAGGACAUAUCGAGCGCCUGAAAUUUGCCGGAACGGAAAUUAAUCAACACUCCGGCAAAACAUAGGCCACUCGGAGGUGUAACCAAAACAUGAAAUAAUUGAUGAAACUAAAAAAUAACAACAAAUAUGACAUGUUCAACUAGUUCUAUUAAUUCAACUAGUUCUUACUAAUUAUAAACUUACUAUAAAUAGAAAGAAACUAGUUCUUUCUAAAAAUAAAGUAGUUCAACUAGUUAUUAAUUUACUUACUAAACUAGUUCAACUAAAACUAAACUAGUUCAACUAAAACUAAACUAGUUCUAUUAAUUCAAUUCGUUCUUACUAAAUAUAAACUUACUAUAAAUAGAAAGAAACUAGUACAUCUACUACUACUAAUUAACAUCUACUACUACAUCUACUACUAAUUAACAUCUACUACUGCUAAUUAUACAACUAGUUUACCAUCACUACUACUAAUUAAUAUCCACUACUACUAAAAAUCAUUAUCUAUGAACCCUAAAUUAACAUCUACUAGUACUAAAAUCAUCUACUAACUAAGCAAAGAGGGAGGGGUAGGGGAGGGGUGGGGGGCUUACAGAGGGAGAGACGGUGGCGGGGAGGUGCUCAGCGACGAAGGUAGGGGCGGCGAGGGUGGGCUCGGGAUCGGGAGGCGGCGGUCCUGGAGUAGGUCGAGAGCGGCGGCGGGCGGCGGCGGUGAGGGUGUGGUCGAGAGCGGCGACAGGCGAGGAGGCGGCGAGGGUGUGGUCGAGAGCGGCGGCGGGCCGCAACGGUCAGGUUGAGUGCGGGCUCGGGCGGCGGCGGUGAGGGCAGGCUCGGGCUCGGGCGGCGGCGACAGGAGUAGGGGAACAGGCCGGGGGGUGAAAGGAGGACUUAGCAAAAAUUUUGAGCUGGGGGUGGUUAAGUCGAACUAGCAGUAGCGCUCAUAAGGAAAAUGCGCUAUAGCUAACUUAUCUAUAGCGUGUUCUAGUGAAAAAUGCUACUGCUAAUGGAAGCAGUUAUUUCUUUUAUUUAUCCCAAUAUCAGUAACGCUUUGUCCUGAAAAAAUGCUCUAAGUCUAAGCAAUGUAAAAACAUCAAAAAUAUACAUUGGUCAUCAUUGAUCUUUUUGUUUAGAAUCUAAAUAGUCAACAUGAAUCCUCACUGUACCUGUAUAGGUACAGGCGAGGAUUCAUAUUGCAGCCACAAAUCAUACACAUAUAGUUCAAUGAAGACCAAGUGCUCGAGAUAGGUUGAGAAGUAACAUAUUUAAGGUGGUAAACACCUUGUUCUCCUAGCAGUAUGGGACUAAACUUAAUUAGUUGCGGUGAUACUUAGCAGUAGCGAGUUUUGAUGAAAAACGCUGCUACUAAGUACUUUAGCAGUAGCGCGUCCCUUGGAAGGGCGCUACUACUAUAUCUAGCCUGGAGGCAACACCGUGGCAAUUAUAGUAGUAGCGCUCGUUUCACCUAGAGCGCUACUGCUAAUUAUAUAUUAGUAGCGCUCUUUACUGAAGCUUGCUACUGCUAAUUAGCAGUAGCGUCUGUUUUUAAACCACACUGCUGCUAAGAUUCUGUGUAUAAGGUUUUCCCUAGUAGUGAUUCUAUAAAGCCAUACUCAAAAGAUUUAAAUGAAGUGCAAUGAGAAUUCUAUAAAUCAACCAGGGACUAUCUCAUACCAGCAUGGUGCAUAAAACAAAAGUGAAAACUAAAUGCAAAAGACGCUCCAAAACUUGCACAUAAUGCAUGAACGAAAUGAAUCCGAAAACAUACCGAUACUUGUUGAAGAAAGAGGGGAUGCCUUCCGGGGCAUCCCCGAGCUUAGACGCUUGAGUCUCCUUGAAUAUUUACUUGGGGUGCCUUGGGCAUCCCCAAGCUUGAUCUCUUGCCUCUCUUCCUUUUCCUCAUAUCGAAACCUCCUCGAUUAGACACUUCAUCCACACAAAACUUCAACGAAAAACUCGGUAAGAUCCGUUAGUAUAAUAAAGCAAAUCACUACUCUAAGUACUGUUGCAAACCAAUUCAUAUUUUUUUUUUGCAUUGUGUCUACUGUAAUAUAACUUUUCCAUGGCUUAAUCCACUAAUAUAAAUUGAUAGUUUCAUCAAAACAAGCAAACUAUGCAUCAAAACAGAAUCUGUCAAAAAUAGAACAUUCUGUAGCAAUCUGAACAUUCACCAUACUUCUGUUACCCCAAAAAUUCUACCAAAAUUAGGAAAACUAAACAAGUUGUACAGCAAGACAGUGCAAAAGGAGUCAGAACCGUUUGACUUUCCAGUUAGAAAUGUAAAAUCGCACACUACAGCCAAAGAUUCUGUCCUGCACCAUACAAACCAACAAGCAUUGUAAACAUCCUAAAGGCAAACCUUGGCACAUUACUUUUAUAAUACAAUGGAAUUGUACAAGGGGAUAAUUAUUUUUGAUGGAAAGUUUCUGUAAUCAAGAUUCACAAAGUUUCCGUGAGCAUGAACAAAGUUCAAGGAGCUCUCCCACAUCAACAAUGCUUAUCUCUCUCACUUUCACUUUCCUUUUUGAAAAUUUUUUAGGUUCCCCUCUUUAUUAUUUUUUUGUUUUUAAACUAUAUGAAAGCACUCAACAGAAAUAAAUGACUCUCUAAAACUUCCGGGUUGUCUCCCUGGCAGCGCUUUCUUUAAAGCCAUUAAGGUAGGCAUAUAGUGCUCAAGUAAUGAAUCCACCCGGAUCCCAAGGUAUAUCAAAGCCAAUUUUAAUUAACAAUGAUUUGUAAUUUAGUAGUGAGCACAAAGUAUUAUAUAUCAAGCAACAACGAAGUCUAACUCUCUUCCUAUGCAUCGGCAUGUCAUAAAAGAACAAUUCAUGCACACAUAAUAAAGGCCAACGCAUAGUAUAAGUAGUUUCUUGCAAUUUCAUAGUAUGGGAAACAUAGAGAGGUGGAUAAAUAGUUCCUCUCUCAUAAUAAUUGCAAGUAGGAGCAGCAAGCACAUGCAUAUUACAUUCAUCAAAAUCAUCAUGUGCAAUGGUAAAAGGCAACCCAUCAAUAUAAUCCUUAAUAAGCAUAAACUUCUCCGAUAUAGUGUAGUAGGGAGAAUUCAGAAAGAUAAUAGGACUAUCAUGCGUGGGUGCAAUAGCAACAAUUUCAUGUUUAACAUAAGGAACUAUAGCAAGUUCAUCUCCAUAAGCAUAAUUCAUAUUGGCAUCUCGGCCACAAGCAUAGCAAGCAUCAUCAAAAAGGGAUAUUUCAAACAAAUUCAAGGGAUCAUAGCAAUCAUCAUAGAAUCAUCCUUCAGUAAGCACGAAGGGGAAUUAAAUAAUGUAUGAGUUGGAGGGUUACUCUCAUUAGAAGCUGGGCACGGGUAGCUAAUCCGCUCUUCCUCCUUUUGUUCUUCGCUCUCCUCAUCAUCUUUUUCCAAUGAGCUCACAGUUUCAUGAAUUUCUUCUUCCAUAGCUUCCUGCAAAAUAUUAGUCUCUUCUUGGACAGCAGGGUAGGCCUCAAUAUAUAGUUUAACAUAGGCAUUAGAAGCAUAAUUAUCAUAGCAAUAUUCAAGUAUGGCAAAAUUUUCAGAUUUGUAGAGAGUAGCAUCAUAUUUUUCAAUCAAAGAAGCAAUUUCAUAUGCACCCUUAAAAGCAACAAAUUCUUCAAUUUGUUGAACAUCAUAGUAAUUAUAAACACCCUUAGCAUAUGAAUAUACGAUUCCAUUAUCACUAAACAAGAAUUGUUAGGGAAGGUGUUUCUUAGGGUUUUCAGAACAACAAGUAACAUCAUAUAAUUCACAUAAAGUCCAAGCAUAGCAUUGCAAACAUUAAAUUUGAUCCCAUAAUAGUUUCCCUUUUUCAUAUAUACGGUGUCGCACAUAACAAGCAUGCUCAUCUAAAGAUUUGCCCUCAACUAAGCUAGUUGGGGUUUCAGCACGAGCACAAAGGGAUCGAAGAUGAUCCAAGUAAAAAGCUUCAGUAGUGUGAUAGAUUUUGAGUGGUUCUUCAACCAUUGGUGCAGUAGGUACAACUAAUUUUUUUGGUAUUUUGCGUUUCCUACCCAUAACUAAAGAUAGAAAACAACUAAGAACAGCAAAUAAAAAUUACUUAGUGAUAAAGCAAACAAGCACAAACGAGAAUAUUCACCCCACGCUAUGACUCCCCGGCAACGGCGCCAGAAAAAGGUCUUGAUAACCCACAAGUAUAGGGGAUCGCAACAGUUUUCGAUAAGUAAGAGUGUCGAACCCAACGAGGAGCUAAAGGUAGAAUAAAUAUUCCCUCAAGUUCUAUCGGCCACCGAUACAACUCUACGCACACUUGACGUUCGCUUUAACUAGAACAAGUAUGAAACUAGAAGUACUUUGUAGGUGUGAUAGGAUAGGUUUGCAAGAUGAUAAAUAACACGUAAAUAAAAAGUAGGGGCUGUUUAGAUAAAGAUGCAAUAAAGUAAAUAUAGCGAGUGUGGAAAAGUGGUGGUAGGAGUUGUGGAAUUGUCCCUAACCAAUUGACUAUGUUACUAGACCGGUAAUCACUAUUGCAAUUCUAUUUGAGGGAGAGGCAUAAGCUAACAUACUUUCUCUACUUGGAUCAUAUGCAAUUAUGAUUGGAACUCUAGAAAGCAUCCGCAACUACUAAAGAUUCAUUAAGGUAAAACCCAACCAUAGCAUUAAAGCAUCAAGUCCCCUUUUAUCCCAUACAUAAACAACCUACUUACUCUGGUAUGUGCUUCUGUUCACUCACUCCACCCACCAUAAGCAAAUCAUAAACAUAUUGCAAACCCUACAGCGGGAAUCCCUCACGCUUGCGCGACAUGGAGGGCACCAUAGGAGAGAACCAAUAAUAAAACAUGCAACUCAAACCAAUCAUAGCAAUUCAUCAAUCACCGAUAGGACAACGAAAAUUUACUCAGACACCAUAGGAUGGCAACACAUCAUUGGAAAAUAAUAUGAAGCAUAAAGCACCAUGUUCAAGUAGAGAGUACAGCGGGAUGCGGGAGAGAGGACCGCUGAAUAUAGACGAGGGAAGGUGAUGGACAUGUUGGUGAAGACGGCGGAGGUGUUGGUGUAGAUCGCGGUGAUGAUGAUGGCCCCCGACAGCGUUCCGGCGCCACCGGAAGCAAGGGGGAGAGGGCCCCCCUUCUUCUUAUUCUUCCUUGACCUCCUCCCUAGAUGGGAGAAGGGUUUCCCCUCUGGUCCUUGGCUCCCAUGGCUUGGUAGGGGCGAGAGCCCCUCCGAGAUUGGAUCUAUCUCUCUGUUUCUGCGUUCUUUGAUUCUACCCCUUCACCGUUUCCUUUAUAUCUGGAGAUCCGUAACUCCGAUUGGGGUGAAUCUUUUGCCCAGAUUUUUCUCGUAAAAUUAGCUUUCUUGCGGGUGGCCCAGGAGAGCCCAGGGCGCGCCCAGGGGUAGGGGGCGCGCCCCCCUGUCUCAUGGCCACCUCGGACACUGUUUCGCGUUGAUUCUUCCUCCGGAAAAUCCCAAAUAUUCCAAAAUAAUUCUCCGUCCGUUUUUAUCCCGUUUGGACUCCGUUUGAUAUUGGUUUUCUGCGAAACAUAAAACAUGCAACAAACAGGAACUGGCACUGGGCACUGGAUCAAUAUGUUAGUCCCAAAAAUAGUAUAAAAAGUUGCCAAAAAUAUAUGAAAGUUGAAGAAUAUUGGCAUGGAACAAUCAAAAAUUAUAGAUACGACGGAGACGUAUCAAACACCAUUUUGUCUUUCAAAACAUAAAGAAAAAAGGUAUACCACAAACAGUUUACUAGAAAGAAUCGUGUGGGAUGCAAUAUAAAACAUCUUGGCGCACCGUCUUGUCUGGCUUACGCAGGAAGCUUCGUGGUCUACAGUCCAUCGCUCCCACUUGAACCACACUUGCGCGCAAGUUUCUCGCGGCACCGAGCGAAAAAAAUUUGCCACCGUGGAAAUAUCUAUCUCCCCACCCCCUCCGUCCCACCAAAAGCCACAUUUCCAUUGUUCCACCUUGCUUUCCAAGUUCAAACCUUCACUUCUGCUUACUGGCAGCUCAGCCUCCUCGGCGGCGACCCUUCUUCUUGUAGCGCCACCUCCUUGCCAGCUACCCUUCUUCUUGCAGCUCCGCCUCCUCGUCGGUGACCCUUCUUCUUGCUGCGCGUCCUCCUCACCGCUGACCCUUCUUCUUGCUAUGUAGCCUCGUCGAUAUGGUCAGGUAAUCCACAUCCCACCCACACCAUCCUCCUUCUUUCCCGUCCCACAUGCCCCGACCGACGGCGCGAAACCUUCCGCCGAAAUCACUGUCCCCCUACUCCAACUAAGCACCGCCCACAGCCAUUUUGCAUGCAGUAUAACAUGGAGCUCAGUAGCAUAUGGUAGCGGAGAAGCAAAUUACGGCCGCAGACGCGCACGAGGUUUCUAUGGCUGCCAUGCGUGCCGACCGCCAAAACUUGGAGGAGCACCUUGUCUUCGAGGCCAUCAUCGACACCGCCACGCGGUUGUCCACUUUAAAAUACAGUUUGUGCUGUUUUCUUGAGGCCACCGCCAAUGUCUUCUAGUGAUUUGCCCUCUGUAAUGCUAAUAUGCAAUCUGAUGUUCAGUUUAUAGUUUGGUCCUCUGAAAUGUAAUGUUCAGUUAACAGUUUGGUCCAACAAUUGCUGCAUUUCGUAGAAGUUUUCUCAAGCAUUUUUGUUUUGUUAACUGUCUUAUCUUCUAGUACAUGUUUCUAUUCUGCAAUGUCGGGCUUAGUUAACUAUUUUGAUUCAUUUGGUAUGUUGUCCAUUUAACUGUUUGGUACAGUUCUGCAAUUUGAUUUCCAUUUGCUGUGGGUACAAUUUUGUAUUGUUACGCAUGUGAAAUAAAUUGAAUUUGGCUUUACUCAAUAGAUAUUCUAUUGAUAUUAUGACAACUCUUAGUUAACCUGGUCAAGAUCUUCCUUAUGUGUGUUGCUAGGAAACAAUGGGACACACCGCGGUUUACCAUCGAGGUUUGUUCAAGCAUGGUCCUUUGGCUAAUAGCACAUUAUUGUGGAUUUGCAGGAAUCAUUCUAAUAUUUAGGUUUCUUACAAUUUGGUCUUGCACAUGUAGGUCCUGCUAUCAGAGGCUUGGACCCACUAUUCGACCCAUUUUGCAUAUGAGGAAAUGAGAUGUCUGUGAAUAUAAGUCAAGUUAAGAAACUCAGAAAGAUUGUUAGGAUGAAGAAACUUGCGAAGAAUAACAGCAAGAUCUUUGUUUGCACAAUGAAGAAGACAUCAGUCAAUUAUAGGAUGGUACUAACUCUUUUACCUUGUUUUUACCCCUUGCACCAUCAGUCGACUAUAGGAUGGUACUAACUCUUUUACCUUGUUUGCAUAUCUUUGUUUUCAGAACUUUUCAAAAUAGUUCACCAAUGAUUACCUCUCAAACCACCUGCAUGGUCAAGAGGCGAGGAAGGUAUUCAUUCAACACCCACGAUACAACAUUGAAGUCUUGCUGAAGAGGACGAAGGUUGGACGGGCAAUUAUCCAUAGCCACUGGCCUAAAGUUGCAAGGACAUUCAACAUGACUGAAGUCUCAACUUUGCCUUCCGCUUUUGCACUUUCCCAGAUGAGAUUCAUCUAUCUAUUUACCGUGUAUGAUGCUAUUCCAAAGGUUUUUGAUGUUGCAUGUGUAACUUGGUGCUGUUGUGUAAUGGCAGAACUGAGUGCUGAAGCUAUUUGAUGUAAUUCGAUUAUGAAAUCCUGGUUGCUGUAAUACGGAUAUGAAAUAUCUAGUGUGUUUUAUAAGAAAUAUCAAUUUGAUUAGUACAUGGAUUAUCAGUAAUAGGCUAAUUACCCUGCUUAUUGGGGUUUUCUGUUGCAGACGGUUACUCAGACAACACCAUGGGCGAUGAACUCAAACAACACGCACAGUUUCUAGAAAGUAGGUGUGUUCGGUCAACUAACAAUCACACAUGGCUUCCGGUAGAGAAUUGUUUGCGUUAGGCCACCUUGCACAAAUGUUUCCACACAAAAAACUGUGUGAUAUACAUACGAGCGGAAAUGUUUUUUCUGGGAUUCAUCAUGUGGGAUGUACAUACGAACGGAAACAAUUGGGUUUCGAUGCCCCACCAGAUCGCACACGAACUCAUUUUUCCCCAGCCAGUGUGCCAGGAGGGCCUAUCCCCGACGGUUUCUGGGUCGUAUGGGAAGGACCCCCCCCCCCCAUCGCCCACACNNNNNNNNNNNNNNNNNNNNNNNNNNNNNNNNNNNNNNNNNNNNNNNNNNNNNNNNNNNNNNNNNNNNNNNNNNNNNNNNNNNNNNNNNNNNNNNNNNNNNNNNNNNNNNNNNNNNNNNNNNNNNNNNNNNNNNNNNNNNNNNNNNNNNNNNNNNNNNNNNNNNNNNNNNNNNNNNNNNNNNNNNNNNNNNNNNNNNNNNNNNNNNNNNNNNNNNNNNNNNNNNNNNNNNNNNNNNNNNNNNNNNNNNNNNNNNNNNNNNNNNNNNNNNNNNNNNNNNNNNNNNNNNNNNNNNNNNNNNNNNNNNNNNNNNNNNNNNNNNNNNNNNNNNNNNNNNNNNNNNNNNNNNNNNNNNNNNNNNNNNNNNNNNNNNNNNNNNNNNNNNNNNNNNNNNNNNNNNNNNNNNNNNNNNNNNNNNNNNNNNNNNNNNNNNNNNNNNNNNNNNNNNNNNNUAAAUCCUAAAAGAUUCCCAAACCAUCAGAGGAAUCCACAAAAGUACUUUUUCGCAGCUGCAAGCCUCUGUUCCCGUGAGAUCCCGUCUUGGGGCCUUUUUCGGUGAUCUUUCGGAGGGGGAAUCGAUCACGGAGGGCAUCUACAUCAACUUUGUUGCCCUUCCGAGGAAGCAUGAGUAGUUUACCACAGACCUACGGGUCCAUAGAUAGUAGCUAGAUGGCUUCUUCUCUCUCUUUGAUCGUCAAUACAAUGUUCUCCUUGAUGUUCUUGGAGAUCUAUCCGAUGUAAUCUUAUUUUGCGGUGUAUUUGUCGAGAUCCAAUGAAUUGUGGUUUUAUGAUCACCUUUUCUAUGAAUAUUAUUUGAAUCUUCCCUGAAUUCUUAUAUGCAUGAUUUGAUAUCUUCGUAUUUCUCUUCGAGGUCUGCAUUGUCUUAGUUCGAACAGUAUCACAAAGCCAUUUGCAGAUAUGUGAAAGUAUUUUUCUCUCAAAGAAAGGGAGGGCCCUUAAGAACUGCAGAUAGGGUGUGUCAGGUACAUCCUUGCUGGCAUGGGUAUAAAGAUAGCUUGUUCUAUGGUUAAGUUUAUAGACAUGAUCAUCUGAGCUAGUUCUAGCAAUGAUACGAAAAUAUAGCAGAAUAUGAACACACGCUUGUGGUUUGUGGUGAACUAAAACUACUAGUAGAAUGCCCGUGCGUUGCUACGGGCUUUUGAAAUAUUUUCCUUGAGUUAUGUGAACAUCAUUGAACAUACUCAUCAGAAUACCAGUUGGAAAUAAAUGUUGCCAUAAACAUUUAUCAUAAUUCCAGCCAGUUUGCUUUAUUUUGAGUGUGUUGUUGUUGUGGGAUAUCAUCACUUGCACAUUUUUUGUUGUAUAAAACAUGGUGAAUUUUUGUCCCCUUCCAAUGAUGUCGCCCCAAAAACCCUCUGAAUGGGUUUCUUUUUGAACCCGACAUAAUCCAUCUCCAUCUCUCUCAUAUUCUACAAAAUUAAAUACAUAUAUAGAAGUAUACCUUUUGAGUAUUAUAUCAUGUGCAACAUACUACAAAGAAGAACAAUUAUUUGCAUGCACCUCUUUUGGUUGUGUAAAACUCGUUGAAUUCUUAGCCCCCUCCAUCAUCGUUACAUCAGGGUCUUUGUCAGUCGACAUCUCCGAAGCACAAUCAAAUCCAUCAGUUUUUAUGACCUACAAAGGUAUUCUAAUAUAAACAAAGAUUAGAAUACCUUUUUUAUGAUGGUGGUAUGGAAAAUAUAUAUUCAUUGGACAAAUUCUAGAAAUGAGCAGUUUCUAGUAGAUUGAGUGGCAUCCCAAUUUUAAUAAUUUUAGGCUCACCUCUAAAUCACAUGUUGAUGGUUAUUCUUACGAAUAUCUAUUAUUUAGGGUAUGUGGUAUAUCGCCCUUAAAAUACUAUGUUACAUUUCUCCACGAGCAAAGAACGGAUUUCCCCUUUAUAUAAUGAUAGUCGGUCAUCCGUAAUUUCUUGGAUAUUUUUAAGUAAUUUAUUGAGAAAAUAUUUUAUGCCAUUCUGAAUAUAUAUAUAGUGUACACGUAUAAAUAAAGCUUUAUUUUUAUGAUAUUCCCAUUAUACCCCUCCUAUACAACUUGUUGUCCUCUCCUGCACGGCCGCACUCUAUCCACUCCCUCUCCGCACCACUCACUCUCUUGUUCCCCUCCCUCUCUAGAUCCAUAGACUUCACCGCCGUCGCUCACUCUCCUCUCUCCGCCCUCGCCACCACAACCAACAGAAUCGGUGACCUCAUCUCCCACCCCUCCACCCUUUCAUCCCUCCCCUCUUCUCACCAAAAUUAGUGAAGGGGGGAUCAAGAUACCAGAUGGUUUCCUGAUCCGCCCACAAACCGGCGAACAACAUCACGCCAAGGUCACCAACGCCGUCAUGAAAUGACAGGCUUCUUCCACCUCGACAGACUUGCUCGCGCACCAAGAUAUGAGAGGGGGCCUUCUACUUCCCGCUCGCUCAUCCCCUUUGGUCAAGCCAUGGAUCAACCUUCCUCUACUCUGACCCAUGCCAUGGACCGAGCGCACUUCCCUCCUCAAGGUCAUCUCUUCACCCCUUUCCUCGUGUGGCAUGUUGCACCGCUAACCCUCACCUUAUCUCCCUCCCUUUCCUCCCAUAUCGAGACAUGCAUGUGUUUCUGCUCGGCCGCUUCACCUCACCGCCGCCUUUGUGGCACGUCGGCCGGGAUUCUUCCUCAUGUCCGCUAGAUCCCAGCGUCGUCAAUUUCAUUCGACUAGGUCAAAGAAGAUGAAAGUUGCUGCAUUCCGUCAUCCACGCACCCCACUGCAAGACACCAAACACAACCGCAACAGCCGGCACGAACGCCACCCGAGAGAGAGUGAAGCGCCGACCAUCAGACACAAACCUUACCGGAUCUGAAGACCGGCAAGAAGACCGAGCCACCUGCUCCCCAGCACCGCCCAUUAGAGCGCCAUCGAGAUGGAGGUAGAGCAGAAGCAAAUUAUUUUGACGCGGCGCCGUUCACACCAUUGAUGCAGCACCUCUGGAAAAAAAAAACUAUGCCUAUCCUAUAUCCCUACCUGACAGAAACAGUUGUGACCUAUUUGUCUUGUUAAAAUAGUGGAUCAACAGCACACGAUGGUAUGUAGCAUGACUCUGCACAGAUAGCUUUCUUAUAAAUUUGUGGCAUGGAGGUUUCGUGGUGUAGUUGGUUAUCACGUCAGUCUAAUUUGUGGCAUGGAGGUUUCGUCAUGUAGUUGGUUAUCAUCCCUUCUCGAUGUAAUAGAGAAUGUAAUAGGCCUUUUGGUUCUCUUGAGUUAUUUUAACUUCUAUAUUGGAAAGAACUGAAUAUUAUGUACCUUCGCCAGAAGGGCUAAUGUAGUCCCUGCUAAAGUGAUCCUCCUCCUGCUAGUGAUCAGAGGCCGGUCUUUUGCUGUUGGUCUUCUCAUGCUGCGGUUUUCCUCUUCCUUAUGGUUUCAUUUGCCGCAGUAUUUUCUUUUCUUCUGAUUGCCGAGUUAUGUAGUAUUAGAUUGUCGAGUUUUGUGGUUUACAGCACAGGAUUUUGUUUUUACAAAAGGUGGAUCCCAACAAGACACGAUGGUAUGCACAUCUUAUAGUCUAUCUGUCUUAUUGAGAAAAUACAUUAAUGUCUCGUGGUGUAGUAGGUUAUCACGCCAGUCUAACACACUACAUGAAGAAGCCAAAUUGUUAUUGUUUUUUCUUUUCUGCAAAAUUACAAAAUGCACCAAUAAAUCUUUGUCAUUUGCUAGUUUCCCAUUUCAGUGCCUAUGUUUGUAAGUAUUCUUCCCUCUUGGAAUCUCCGUUUUGCCACUGUUUCUCACUUUCUGUGAUGUGAUGUGUGCGCAAAUAUUCCCACAACAACUAAACAAUAAUAAAGCCAUAUACGCAAGCGACCGAAUAAUGGCAACUUCAUAUUGCCACUCAAGGCGCAUCUCCAAACCGACCUGUCAUGUCCAUAGUUGCGUCUCAACACUCGGGGCAGAAAGGCUCGCUCUCAACCACUGCUUCAUAUCACCGGAUCCACACGGCCAAAUAGUGUCCUCCAUUUUCGAAGUGAUGACAGUAUAUCUCGUGGGAAAAUUGUUUCCACAAUUCGAUAUCCCUCCCGUUGAUGAAAAAAUCACGUUCGGCUUCGGCAUCACAGAAUGCACUUAACGAAAAUUGUUUUCUUCGUUCUGAGCUGGAAUAAUGUAUUCCCUCCCAUAAAAUAAAAUCAUCAAUAGUUCACUUCUCUAUAUACCUGGAUGGAAAGUAAUGGCCAAUGUGGAUCACCCAAGAUGGCACGCCAAGUGUUGUUUAACUCCACUAUGUAGACAAGUCAUUAUAUGCACACAAUUAUGUAAGAAAAAUAAAUAGGUCAAGAACUGUUUGGCCAUAGAUGGAGCUUUCUACAGAUGGGUACAAGAAUUUGGCACCACCCACUCAGUUUACCUCUCACCUUUUUGAUUGCUUUCAUAUGUAAAAAAUAGUGAGUGGAUUUGCGAUCUGCCUUAAAAUGACAAGACGGGGGUUGGGGGUUUUAAAAAAUUCCAAAUGCAUUCUUUAUAUUCACAUGUUUAUUUAUUUUGUAUUUGUUUGUGCAUGUCAUAAAAUCAUAAAUUUGCACAAGCAUGCAUAAUACUCAAUGAUCUACAAUGACAAUAGGCUUUAAGAUUUUUCAAAGCAUGAGAAAAAAAUCAAAUGACGUCAGCUGGAAAUUAAAGAUAUGUUCAGACUUCCAAACAAUUAUGAUCUCUUUGGUCCAAACUUCAAAGGAACCAUUAUUGAAAAUUUGGUGAUUCUAGUUGUUAGAAUAUUUUCCUACGGGACUAGUAGGGCUGGGAACCAUAAUGUUAUUCUAUGGCCAUGUAUUCGUAGGAAAAUUUAUGUCGAGCCAAAUCUUCUGGAAAUAAUUCCGUUAGUUCAAUGACAACUAUGUGCUUGCACCUAAUGUUUUGGAAAGUUCUUGUGUUUUGUUUUCCUUCUGCAGUAAAUCAACAUCCAUAUUUUAUACAUUACUCUAUCUUUAAUUCCCACGGGAUCCAACACAGCAUGGCAUGAAAUAUGUAUGUUAAUUUUUCCAGUUCCCUCUUUUAAAAAUGCCGCAAACAGAUGUGCCAUGUAAUCUUCAAAAAAAAAGUGGGAGUGAGAUAGUUAUUGAAAUGCAUGUAGGCUGGAGACUAAAAUUUCAGUAAAAUUCAGCUUAUAACACUAAAACUGAAAAGGUUGUCAAACCUAUGGCAACCAAGAGCCAGCAAGAUUUUUUAAAGAAAAAAUAUUUUCGGCGACCUCCACCUAAGAAGUCCUAGCUUUUUUCCUUGUCCUGACAUUCAAAAAACACUGAGUGAUGGUUAUCAGCCGAAUAUAUUCACUAAGGGCAUGCACGAAAGAGAGCUAUUUAUUUAUUGCUAAGGUUUCAGAAUUUAGUUUGAUUUUGAUUUAAUUUGAAAUUCAUAAUUUACCGAGAAAUACAACUAUAAAUUCAAGCAUCCCUAAACUAAAUAAAAACGUAUCUAUAUUUGGAAAAAUUUGAUGUUUUUUUAUAAACUUGUUAAAACAUGGAAACAUUUGACAUUUGAAAAAAAAAAUCAGUACAGCUAAUAUUUUGAAAAAGGAAGUUAGUACGUACACCAAUAAUUCGAUAUACCCACAAAAUAUUGGCCGUAGUUCCUUUAGUGGUUCCUUUGAUGUAAGAAACAAGCUAGUAGAGACAAAGGGAAUCAAAUCAUGGGAGGAGGUGGCCCUAUCCUUAUUCCUCUUCCCCACGCGGUUGCUCUCGUCCAUCCUUUACCAAAAGUGCAGCAUCUCUCAUCUCCGUCUUCAUCUUCUCUUCCUCCUCCUUCCUUGAUGCUCACUCGCCUAUAAAUAGCCCUCGCUGCCUGCCAUUGUUACUCAAGCCAGCAAGCAAGAAGCACACAGGAAGCUCCUAGCCAACACCAAUCAAAGCCUCCAUCCAAUCCCAAGCAACCUCGAGGAUGUCUUGCUGCGGAGGAAACUGCGGCUGCGGCAGCGCCUGCAAGUGCGGCAACGGCUGCGGCGGCUGCAACAUGUACCCGGAGGUUGAGGCCGCCGGCGCCACCCUCCUCGUCUCCGCCACCGCCACCCACAAGGCGUACGUCCCUUCUGUUUCCUCAUACAUCAUGCGCCCGCUAUAAUAUGACUAUAUAUGUUGAUCUUGCUAUGGGACUAAGGAUUGAUGGAUGGGUGCAGGAGCUCGGGCGGGAUGGAGAUGGCGGCGGAGAACGGCGGCUGCGGCUGCACCCAGUGCAAGUGCGGCACCAGCUGCGGCUGCUCCUGCUGCAGCUGCUAGAUCUAUCAUCGGUCAUGCAUGCACCGCGCGCAUCAUAUCUAUGAUCUAUCUACAAUCUACUUACCAUGUAACGCCACCUGAUCGAGGGUCUUUGUAUGUAUGUAAGCACCUGCCAGCAUGAGCAGAGCAGGUGCACUGCCAUGCAUGUAAACCGACCCCUAAAUAAAAUCUCCCGUGGUUUAACCUAUACUUGUGUUUGUACUAUCAACUUGCGAGGUGCCUGGGUUGUUACUAGACCAGCUGAAUGCUCUCUUGAAGCAACGUAUGCACCGCUUGGAAUCGGU
rnacentral:lncRNA from 1 species